UUUUUUUUUCUUUUUGUAAGUUAUCAAAUUUCCUCUCUUUAAAAUGCUUCUAAUUUUAGUGUCGUAUUUAAAAAUGCACUUCGGCAUACAAAUAAACAGUAACAUCAAGUACAUAAUGUUGGUUUUAGAAUGUAGCAAAAAAUUAUCAUGAUAAAAAUUCAAAAGAACUAACCAUAAUUUAACCUAAUUAAUUAUGUAUGUACAAGUAUAGUCAUAUAAAAGAAAAGGAAAGAAAAAUAUUUAUAUUUUAAGUUCUUCAAUAAAGUACAUAAAUGAAAUAUAGAGAAUAGGAAAGAAAAACUAAAAANNNNNNNNNNNNNNNNNNNNNNNNNNNNNNNNNNNNNNNNNNNNNNNNNNNNNNNNNNNNNNNNNNNNNNNNNNNNNNNNNNNNNNNNNNNNNNNNNNNNNNNNNNNNNNNNNNNNNNNNNNNNNNNNNNNNNNNNNNNNNNNNNNNNNNNNNNNNNNNNNNNNNNNNNNNNUUGUUAGUUACUCCAUGAUUUUAUUUGGAUUGAGUUUAUUCAAUUUAGUUUCAAAGAUUAGUUAAAUUGACUACACAAAAUAAAUAAUAUCACAUAAAUUAUUAAAGUAAAAAAUAUAAUUUAAAAAUUAAACAAAGCAUUUUUACCCAUAGAUUCUUUACAACUUUGGUGAAAGCAACCAUAUGAUGUGAUGAUUAGCAUUUCUUCCUCACCAUAUUGUAUGUUAUGGUAGAAGUGAAAGAAUAACUUUGAAUGAAAUUUUUCUUGCUACCAAAGAUGAAUUUAUAUAGAAAAAGAGGAGGAAUACCAUAAGGUGUCAUAAACUAAUAAAUUUAAUUUUGGGGGUUAUGAAAAUUAAAAAAGGAGUUAUGAAUAUUAUUAAGAUUAUAAGUUGAAGAGGUGUAAGUUAUUGAUAGUUAUUUCUUAUUUUAUUAAAGAUGUAAAAUAUAUAUUAUAGUGGUAGGUGAAAAGUUGAGUAAUUGAAUGUGAAGACUUUUUGAGAUAUUAAAAAUAAAAUAAUUAAAUAAUGAAGGAAAAAAUGGUAAAAAAAAAAAGAGAAAAAAGACAAAUAUAAAUGGAGGCCAUAGAGAGGUGCCACAUCACCUUCUCUACGUUUCUCCUUUAUAUAUAUAGACUAGGGAAUUUGGCCGCGCUUCGCACAGUUAUUAAAAAUAUAUAUAAAUUUAAUUUAGAAAUUAAUUAUGAUACAAGAAAUAAAAAACCAACUAUAGAAAUAAGAAAAUGAUAAAAUCACAAUACAAAUAAUUUUUUGUUAGAAUUAGAGCUUAAGUGAAUUACAUUUUUAUUAUAAAAUAUUUUCAAAAUUAAAAGGCUAAUUUAUUAAGAAAAAAAUCAUAUAUUAUGAUGUUAAUACAUAUAAUUCGAAUAAACAUAUUUAAGGACUUGAUUUUUUUCUCGUUUUUAUUAAAUAUUAAAUUUACUAUCUGAUGAAUCUUCUUUUUAUUUGAAAAAAAAUGAUGAAACUAAAAGUAGGAGGAAAAAUAGAUAAGUAUUUCAAUUUAAUUUCUUAUUUGAUACUUAAUCCUUUCAUUUGUCUUGUUUUUUCUCUUAUUUUUCAUCAUCGUCUAAAUAAAUAUUUUUCUCGUAUUUUCCAUAAUCAUCAUCUAAAUAAACCUCUAUUGCUAAUUUUUGUGUAUAUCUUAUAUUAUUCUUUUGGUAAUUCUUUUAAAGUAGAAGAAAUGAACAAAUUUAGAGAAAAUGUAAAUGGUUCUUCACCAUGAGAAAUACCUAAGAACUAUGUAUUUCAAUAUUUAAUAUACAUUUCGUUUGAGCCAUGCGUAGUAAAAUUUGAACAUCGGUUAGCGUAGUUAGCUAUUUCUGGCAAAGUUACAAAUAACUAAUUUGAGCCUAAGCGAAAAUGUAAUUUACUACAAUUAAAAAAAUUAUAAGAACCUAAAUUUAAAUUUUUUUAUCAAGAUAACACUUUUUUGUUAAGUUCGUAAUCACAAAAACAAAGAUGAAAAAAAGUUACAUAAUCAAUGCACAUAUUUUUGAGUUUUUAUCCGGCUCCCCUUCUAUCCACAUCCAAGAGACUUUUUAUGGAGUCAAACUAAAGUAUAAAUCUGAUAUUACAAUAAUAAUAAUAUAAAAUAUCACUAUUUCAAAUAUGAAAUAAAAAAUAAUAAAUCUUGAGUAGGAAUCUUAUGAAACAAAAAAUAUGAAUUUAUAUUGACAAAACUAAAGUAAUAUCAUAAGGUAUCUUACAUUUUGAAAUUAAAUAAUGGCGGUUAUGAUAUGAAAAUUUAAAGAAAAUGAGUUAAUAAUAUUAUUUGAACCAAAAAAACCUGUGCUCAAAAUAUUUUGAUUUUCGAGCACAGGUUUGUCGGUAAAAAAAGUAAAAUUUCAAUAGGUAUAAGUUAUAAAGAUAAUUUUUUUAAUAUAAACAAAAGAAGGAAAAAUAAAAUAAUGAAGACCAAAAAAAAAACUCAUGAACUAUCCAAUAUUUGUUGGGUGUCUAAGUUUUAUUAGGAAAGAAAGCAAAUCAGCUUCGUCUUUUUUGUAUUACUCCAUUGUGUUUAACAAAAUUGAAAGAGGAAAAAAAAUAACAACAAAAAAGAGACAAAUAUCUUGAAAGAUUGAAGUAGUAAAUAUUGAGACUUUUAAUUAUUUGUAAUAAAGAAUAAUAAUGAGUGUAAAUAAUUUUUGAGACUUUUAAGUAUAACAAUAAAUAGAGGAGUAGUAAUUGGUAUAUUUAUUUUUUGUACAAUAAUAAGUAAGUAGAAAAAUAUGAAAAAUUGUCAAAAAAAAAAUUAAAGAAAAAGAUAAAUAGAAUCCUUGGGCCUUGACCAAAGAGAGGUGCAACUUCACUUUUCUAAAAUCUAGCUUAUAUUAUAUAUAGAUUUUUAAGCACAACAGUAUCUAAUACCUAUGGGAAAUGUACUGUAGAUAAGAUACCUUUCAACCAUGGCAAAAUUUUAGAAUAUUGAAAUAAAAAUAAUACAUUAAUUGAAAAAAUUGUCAAAAAAUUGAGGAACAGAAUAAAUAGAAUCCUUUGCCAAAGAGAGGUGCAACUUGAAUUUUCUAACAUUUAGCUUAUAUUAUAUAUAGAUUUUUAAGCACAACAAUAUCUAAUAGCUAUGAGAAAUGUACCAUAAAUAAUAUACCUUUCAACCAUGGCAAAAAUUUAGAAUAUUGAAAUCAAAAUAAUACAUUAAUGAAUCUUUAAAAUAUUGAAAACAUUCAAUCUUUAUACUUUUAUGACUAUCUCUCUUGAUUAAUCUUUCAACAUUAUUAAGCCUCCUUCUUCAUUUCGAUGAACUUGUACUAAACCAAUGUGAACAUCUCUUUGUAAUGAAUCUUUGAAGAAUAUAUCUUUGAUCUUCAUCAAAGUGAAACACAUAUCAUGUCACUAUCGUUUCUAUAACUUCUUAUGGAAAAGAUGAAGAAGAAUAAAAAAUAAAAAUAAAAAGAGAAAAAGAACUACACUAAUAAUGAGAAAAUGAAAAAUGAAUAUUCAACAUCUCCAUGAAUGAUUGUUAUUUAUAGAUUUGAUAAUCCAUAAGAAUAGUUAGAAAGGAGUUGAAUAGUCAUGUUGUUUAAGUAGAGAAUAUGAAUAGAUAGUGAUUUUUUUGUAACUCAUUAGAUAUAAUUAGAAUAGUAAAUAUGAUUGAAUUUUUUAUUUAAUAAAGAAAAUAUUUAAUGAAAAGAAUUUAAAAAAAUAUAUAAAUAUAAAUGGAGGUCAUAGAAAGGUGUCACAUCACCUUAUUUAUGUUUCUCCUUUAUAUUAAUUAUAUAGAAGAGUGAAGCCAACCAGGACGACCAAGGGCAAAAUAGUAAAUUUUUAACCUGACAAAUACACACUCUCCAUCAUUCUAGAACACUCACCUUCCUCAUUAGCACAAAGUAGACGCAAGAUUUUCAAUACAAGAAUCAGUUCUUCCAUUUCUCUUGCUCCAACUCCAACAACAACGAAUUCCAGGUAUGUUCUGCUGUCAAUUUUGCAACAAAUUUCUUCCAGUUCUUUUUGAACUUUUAAAUUUUACCACUAAAAUAUAGGUUUGACAUCGUUAUUAUUAUGUCUAAUUCUCUCCCCCAAUUUUAUAAUUGAUGUAAAGAUUUAUGUUGUCCUCACACAUAUAAGCAAUUUUAUUUUAUAUAGUUGCAGAUUUAUGGAUUUUUAUUUCAAAAUUUGUUUUCCCUUUGUUCUUGGUUAUUGAAAUUUAGUGUUUCUUUUUCAAUUUAUUAAUUGCAGGUGUGAACAUUUUCAUUUACUUGAGAAGGGAAGUUGACAAAGCUUCAUACCCAAAAACCAAUAUUAACUCCUCAGAGAAACGAUUAUACUACAGAUACACCUAGCUUAAUUUGGGGGCCUAGCUUAAUUUGGGGAGUUCUUAUAGGAAUGUGGUAUCUUUUCGGGAAUUCAGUUUUGUGUACUUGAAGAUUCUUCUUUUUUGUUGUUAGAAGUGCAAAGGGAAGGGCAGAUUCAAUAAAGUAAAGGGGUCCAACUUCCUUAUUGUGUCCAUUUUGAUUACAAUAAUCAGAUAGAAUAUAAUCUCAUUCAUUCUGGAAAUUGUGAAUUUUGAGAUUAUUUUUUGUUGGAGAUAAAUAGAUGUGAUUGGUCCAAAAGGGCGGGUCACAGACGGAUUUCUCGGUUAACAAAAAAAAAUUAAGCUAUACUUUUAAUAUAUGAAAGUAUGCAAUUAACUUUGUAUAUGAUCCUUUCUAAUUUUGAGACUUCUUUUAGUCAAGGGAUGUUUUGUUACUUCCAUAAAGAUAUUGAGAGAUAGUACUAAUACUAACACAUAGGAACGUAAGAAAUUAUAUUACCGUUUCCGACAAAUUUCAGAAGGUGGUUUCUAUAAUUCUCUUGAUUCUUCCGUAACAACUAUAGUAGGAUUUUGGUUUGCAAACUUUGUUUAUGUAGUACUCAAUCUUACUUUUAACAAUCUGUAACUUCACUCUGGACUGAAAACUUCGAACUUCAAUAAUAUUGAGGAAGCUAAAGUAGCAAAGAUGGUUGGCUAUUAUAUAAUAAAUAAAGGACAAGACGAAAUAUCAAUAAGAAUAUGCUGUGAGUUCUAUACUAGAGAGAGUAAGAAAGAAGUAUCAAAUAAAUGCAACCUGUGAAACCAAACCAAAAUCCAACUUGAGGAGAGUCAUUCUUUGAUCAGAGAAAGAUGUCUUCGAGAAGGGAAAACACAAUGCAAUAGCAGGAUGUUUUCCUUGAACGUCUGGUUUCCAUAUGUUCUCUUCCUUAUCCCCAAAAGAGCAUACUUGAUGAGGUUUCCCAGAUCGAGAACUUUGAAGGAAGCUUCUUAGCACUUAUCUUAGCUUGGAACAAUUUUCCCUUUCUGUUCUGAAAUCUCUUUCCCGGGAAAGUUACUUCUUCGUGAAAGAGGAAAUUCCCCAGGAGCAUAUCUUCUGGUGGCACUUUGGCAUAUAAGUUGUAUUUCAUUCAAGUAGAAACUAAUGCACUCUUAAAAAUAUGAUACUUGGUGACUCAUCAACCAGGAAAAAGAUAAAAGUAUAAUACGUAGUGAUGCUUGAAAAAAUAUCAAGAAAUUCUUUCAUUUCUGUCGUCUCAAAUAUGUGGGAUAAAUUGUGCCGGUGAAUGAAAAAGAAAGACCUGUACCUCUCUCAUAAUAGGUACUCAGGAGGCUGAGUUGUGUUUGUGUGUGUUUCCUGAUGAGCUUCAUGUUCGAUGUGGUUCCCAUUUGUCACAUUGGAGCUUAAUUUUUGUUUUCAUUGAUAAUAGAUGACAAUAUGACAAUACUAAUGGCAUUUCAGACACCAGAAGUUGAGGUCAUAGGCUUGGCUACUAUCUUUGGCAACGUUACUACAAAAGAUGCUACACGAAAUGCAUUACUCUUGGUAUGUUUUUUAUUUUAAUUUUAUUUAUCUAAACUUCUCUCUUUUCAUCGUGCUUAAAAUUUCCAUCUUCUAGAUAUUUAUGGAUCAAGUUCUUGAUCAAUUACUUCUUUUAACUUAAUUUGCAAAAUGAUAGUGUGAAGCUGCAGGAUAUCUGGAUGUUCCCAUGGUAGAGGGUAGCUCUGAACCUCUGAAGGUAAUUUUGUUUUUAUUUUUACUGUAUAUUCCUUCUAAUAGUAACAUUUUUUUCUCUUUGCAAUCUCACAUACUGUAUAUUCCAAAGAGACAAGUAAUUACUGCAGCAUCACUUGAACAUACGUAACAUGAAGCUAAUUUUUAAGUUUUUCUACCGUGUAGAUAGAUAUUAGAAUAGAUUAAAGAGGAAAAACGAUGGUUGGUUUUACACACAAAAAAAGUUCAGCUCAUGCUUACUUUCCUUUCUCCCUUGUAGCUUCUCAACACACUGUCACCUAACCUAACUCUUGUUUCUUGCUAUAGAGAGGGGAACCACGUGUUGUAGACUUUGUUCAUGGUUCAGUUGGAUUAGGCAACUUAUUUUUACCUUCUCCAAAUUCAAAAAAAUUGACAAGUCUGCAUCUGAAUUCUUGGUGGAAAAAGUUUCUGAAUAUCCUGGUGAAAUGUCUAUACUUGCAUUAACACCAUUGACAAACUUGGCUUUGGUAUGUCGUAUCAUAAAACUUUUGAUUUUUAAGUUUCCAAUUUUUCCAUUGCAAUAACAAAAGUUUCAUUGUUAUCUGUUGGUUAGGCUGUCAAGAGGGACUCAACCUUUGCAAGCAAGGUGAAGAGAAUAGUUGUACUUGGUGAUUCCUUCUUUGCUUUAGGAAAUGUUAAUCCUGCCGCAGAAGCAAAUGUGGGUGAUUUCUUUCCCAAUGGGGUAUAUAAAUACUAUAAUAUUUACAAUGUUUUACAAUUCCUUUUUUAAACUUGCGUUGAUAUGCUUUUUUGAGCCACUGGUCUAUCGUACACAAUCUUUCUACUUCAAAAAGGUAGAGGUAAGGUCUGCAUGCACACCACCCUUCCCAGGCCCCAUUUGUGAGAUUACAUUUGGCAUGUUGUUGUUGUUGUUGUUGUUGUUGUUGUUGUUGUUGUUGUUGUUGUUGUUGUUGUUGUUGUUGUUGUUGUUGUUGUUGUUGUUGUUGUUGUUGUUGUUGUUGUUGUUGUUGUUGUUGUUGUUGUUGUUGUUGUUGUUGUUGUUGUUGUUGUUGUUGUUGUUGUUGUUGUUGUUGUUGUUGUUGUUGUUGUUGUUGUUGUUGUUGUUGUUGUUGUUGUUGUUGUUGUUGUUGUAAUGUCUUACAAUGUGCAAAGCUGAAGAAACAGUCUUUGUUGUAUUCACUUAUCCAAUUUGUUACUAUUUACUCAUUUGCUUAGUUUGCUGACAAAGCAGAUAUAUGGGGACCCUGAGGCUGCUGAUGUUGUGUUUACGUAGGGGGAGAAUAUUGAUGUUGUAGGCAUCAACAUUACAACACAAGUCAAAUUGAAAGGUGAAUGUUCACUGCUUAAAUAUGUUGAAUGCUUCUAUAUUUUGGACCUUUAAUAAUUUUGUUCACCUCUAAAAUAAGAGUAUGCUUCCCUGCUUUUAGAUGCUGAUCUUGAAGAACUAAAGCAAUCCGAAGGAAAACACGCUAAGUUUGUGUGUGAUAUGUGCAAAUUUUACCGUGAUUGGCACGUGAAAUUCAGUUGGUGUCUAUGGUAAUAUAUAUGUUCUUAUAUUGUUUUUGGAUGUCUGACAAUGCUUCUUAAACCACUUUCUUGCAUUUAUCUCGUGAUCAUCUCUUAUCAAUUGGCGAUCAAACUCUUCAAAAAAGUAUGCUACUAUGUGUUUGAUGUAUAAAUUGUUGGUUUUUUUGUCGAAUAUUCUUUUUUUCUUUUUAUGGGUAUGGUGAUUUGUUAUAUGAUCACAUUUUCUUUUCUCCAUUCCAAAUGAUCAUGGAGUUCUACUUCACAUGAAAAUGUGGAAAACAGAGUGGACAUCAACACACCUCUAGAGGAUGAAGAACGUAUCAUCGAAUGCGAGAAGGUCCCAAGUUGCCGUGUCGGAUGGAGGAUCAUGGCAUGCCCCUUGGCAGCUUAGGUAAUGAUUUUGAAAAAAUCUUGUUUACACUUCUGUGAAUACUUCAAAAUUUGUUAACUCAUGAGAUGCUAUCGGGAUAUUGGGAUAGAUAACUAUGAACAAGAGUCAGCUUUUUGUAUCUAUUCCAGUCAAAUUUUAAAAUUUAUCACAAAUUUAGUCAUUGCAAGAAGUGGAUUAUAACAUUGUAAGUCAUACUAUUCUCGCUUCGGAGAAAUGCUUAAGCAUUACAUUAUUGGCUAUAUUUUCAACAGAAACUUUAUUAGUAACAGGUAGGUAUUUCUGAUUUCGGGUUGUUUCCCUCUUCCUGCUCGAAUUCAAUAAAUCAUAUUUUCCACGCCACUUGUCAGUAAAGUCGAUUCUUCUUUAGUGUAACUGAAUAACUUUUGAUUAGUUAUUUUCUGUUAAUGUUUAUCAUGGCUGAAAUAGGAAAAAAAACUUAUCUUCUUAAGCAUUCAUGUGUUUUAGUAACUAAGUUGGUAACAUUGUACUAUCUAAAGAUGAAAUCAGUUUCAACUUUGGAUAUAUCUUGUUGCCUCUUUAACAACAAAGACCCAUUGUAUCUACAUUAAAGAAAAAUUUAUUUCAUCAUGAAAGUUUCUCUGUGACAGCCUUUUAUAUUAGUCGACAUAGCUAAUGGAGAACAUUACAAAUAAAGAAGUCGUUGUAAAUAUAGCAAACUUGAUGUCAUUUAAUGAUGUCUUAAUCUGUUAUUGCAAUGAUUAUUAUUUUGCUCUCUGAAACAGUUAUGCUACAAUACUUAGUUAUUUACAAUUUGACAUUUUGUUAAUUCGUUUAUUAAUGGCUGAAAUGAUUACCGACUCUCUUUCAGCUGCCAACUAUAUGGCUAUCUCCAAGCUUUGCAGACAUCACCAUCAGUUGUUGCUGCUGGAUUGGUUGUUGAUUAUCUUAUUAUAUCGCCAGCAACACAACUGUGAGAUUAAUUGAUACGUGGUAUGCAAGGCUGCCAUGACUCCAACUCCGCCAUUUGGACUCAUACGGACGAUUCAAGGUAAGUAAUCUAAUCCAUUAGUUAUGGUAUGUUACAUGCUAUUUCUAACACAUUAAACCUAUUUCUAGAAAUAUCAGCUCUCUCAUCCCUUUCCCCCUUUUAGUUCUCCAUACACACACUCUCUAUUUCAAUGAGUAUUGUUGCAGUUGUACGAAAAGUAAAGAUCAAAUUUAGUAGUUAGAAAUAAUGAAUCUUUCCCUCCCUGUAUGUAUAAAAUCUCCAUUUCACCUUUAUUUUCUAGAUUUCUCCUUCUUAUAUCAAUAACAAUAAUUUUCCGAUUUUCUCAGUGUUUGCUGUUUAGAAAAUUGUUGCAGAAACUAUAUUUUUAGUUCUCAGAUAAAGCCGUAAAAGUUAUUGGAAAGAUUAGGCAACGGUUGGCCUAAAUAAAGUUACUAAUUCUACUGUUCUACUACAAGGACAUAUUAGUUGUCAUGAUUAUUGGUAAGUACUAUUUGGACACAAAUUUUUCUCAAAUCUCACACAUUAAGGAGCACAUGCCUUUCAAUUAACCACAUCCUUUCAAUAACCUUUAUUUUUAACAAAAGCCUGCAGUGAAUUAACUACAAAUUGCCCUCAUCCUAGAAUAACCAUAUUCAAACUUAAUCAUCAUAUAACUGUUGUUGAGGAUAAUUGUAAAAUUCUCUUUUUACUCCUUUUUCCAUAAGGUAACUCAUACUUGAUUAAGUGCCCGUUAAAAUUCUCUUUUAUUCCUUUAUCUAUAAGGUAAGUCAUACUUGAUUAAGUGCCCAUUUAGAAUGACUUGUUUUAGGUGUUUUAAAGCAAAAUGCUUAUAAGAACUUAUUUCUAAGUCAAAAUAACAAAAUUAAGCCAAAGUCAAUCCAAACAGGCUUUAUAUCUUCUUUGUUUUACCCCUCCAUAGUUCCCUAAUCCUUUUUGCUCUUUCAUUAUAGGAUAGAUACUAGAGCUACAAAUUCUUUAAACUCACCGGUUUAAAGAAAAAAGUAGUUUAAUUUGAGAAGAAAUGAAACUACGUAGCACAAGAAAAAUGGAAAAGCUGUAUGUCUGCUCAUUACAAUGAUCUCGGAGAUAAUGAUACUUUAUGCCCAAUUAGUUCUUGGAUGAUCUGCAGAAUAUCCUUAUAUGUGAGGGAAAGAACAUGCAGAAAAUUAUCUUACACAAAUUAGUUUCCUAAUAAGUAUUGAGUUUAGCAUUUGACAGAUUUUACUAAAUGAAUUUUAUAAACUAAUACUCUUCUUAUAAUAAGUGUAUCUAACCAAAGACAAGAUAGUUGUCAACAAGUAGAAGCGUGGUUGUGGAAAUUUGAAGGGGAGAAGAAAAACUUCUUAGAACAAUAUAAAAGUGCUCUUCUAGGCUACAACAAUUAUAUUUAUAAAAAGAAAAAUUCAUAGUGUCCCCUACUUUUCAUAACAUGUGUUAUUUUAGAUGGAUAUCACUUUCAAUUUUUUUGGUAUAAUGUGCUUCAUUAGUUCUUUUCAAUUUCUCAUUGUGGUUUUUCUUUAGCGUAAUAUACAUGCUUAACCUGCCUUGAGUAGAAGAAAGAGUUGUACUAUAAAGUCCAGUGGUUUCAUUAAAUAUCAUUGAACUUUAAUAGAUCAUUGAUGAAAACAUAGGAGGUGAUUUCAAUUGUUGUAGUAGGAAUGUUAAUCUUUGUGAUGAAAUUUAAUAAACUACAACUGAAAGUUCUCAAGAGAAGUACAAUAAAAAACUUUCUUUUUCAUUGUUUCGGCCAACUACAUUUACUAUUGAUGUUGGAUAGCUUUUAUUAUUUACAAUUUGUAGUAUCAAGUUCAGAGCACCUUACUUGAAGUAGGAUUAUAGUGUUGAGUUUGGAGUACCUUUUUAUUGUAAUUUGAUUUUUUUUUAUCUUUUCAAGUACACAGAAAGUGUAUAUUGACACCUCCUUUUCUAUGAUGUUUUCUUAAAAUAGAUAAAGUAUUGUGUAUUAUAAUCGCAAAACUAAAACCUCAUAUUGUUCAACUGCCACAAUUGUUUCAAUUGGCCAAGUUUGAGAUCUACUGAUUUUAUAGCAACAAAUUUGUGAUAUGCAUACUGCAAGUCCAACAAACUGUUGGAGUUGAACUGUGAUGUUAAAUUAAAGAUGUGUAUAAUGUAUUAAAAUACUAUCUGAAUUUUGAGGUAUUAAACAUGUUAGGUAGAAUGUUGAAUUUAGAGAGGUAUCCUAUGUAGAAACAAUCAUUGUCUAUUAAUCACAAUAAAGGACUAACUAUUUGUUGUUUUCUUCUUUUAAUUUCAUUUAGCUUGAUAUUUUUGUUGCAGGAUGGUUAACAUUGUUUUUAUUUCAUUGAAUUGCAAUGUGUGCAACUACACCUAUCUGAAAUGACUCCAUACAAAUACAGAGGAGCACUCAACGUUGAUUUCAACUGUCUGUCACAACUAUGCACCAGUGUUGCUUAAGACUAUUGGUUUUGUUGUUGAUAGUUCAGUCAUGUCUGCUGUGACCACAUACCACUGGUGGAGUCAAUGUCAUUGCCGCUGUGGUUUCUAUUUACUAUGUUGAUAAAUUGGGAAUGAGACUCUUGUUUCUUGAAGGGGGAGUUCAAAUGCUCUUUUGCCAAGUAAGUUCAUUUCAUCUUCUUGGACUUUUUCAUGGUGAAAUUUUCAUAUGUGCUAUUACAUGACCCGUUUUAUUUGACAUAUCAUAAGAAAGAAUUCUACUUAAAAUGAUUCUAUUUCAUCGUAGUUAGCCAAACAUAUUAUGAUCCAUAAGAAUAACUGAAAUCUUGAUACUAUGUAUAUAGUUGAGUAAAAACUAUGAGGUAUUUUCAGGACACCAUUAAUUUGUGUCUGAAAUACCAACAUUGAUUGAUGAAUCGAACCUAGAAAUCUCAAGCUCAAGUUGAUGUGGAAUUUACGGCAAAUAAAUAAAUAAAUAGAAGAAGCAAGUUAUGUUACAAUUGUUGUUUGGUUAAAGGUUGUACCUUUACCUUCUAUAUUUGUACUCAUCUUGAUCAAAUACUACUUUAUUAACUCAAUUAACUUAUCCAAACUCAUAAAAAGAAGGAAUUUUAGCUUAGAACUAAAUUAUAAGAACUGAAUAUGAAAGAAGAGAAGCUUGGUAGAGCUUGCUCCAAUCCAGUUUCAGAGAUGCAGGAGUCCAAGGCAACUGUCGGGCCAUUUGAGUGCAUACAAGAUGCAUUGGACAAGAUGCCAUUUGAGUGCAUACAAACUAAUACGGGUGGAACAACACUUUUGAAGUACUACUGUUGAAUUUAUUCAGGCUAAUAGGCUUUUUUUGUUUCAGGUUUGAAUGAUGAAUGAUAGACACAAGUGAUAAAUCUAUUCAUUUUUCUAGGAGCAAAAUGUAGAGAAAACACAUUGUUUGUGCUCCUUUUUUUUUUGGUGAAUUUCAAAGUUAAUUUUCACUUAGAUGUAUACAAAUGGUAGUGAUGGGGCUACUGGUUCUUACCUAUGAAGCUAUGGUUGCAAUGAAUUUUAUGGGAAGAGUUAGGCACGUGUAAUUUUGAACAUUGGUGCCUUAUCUUAAAAAGAAUGCAUGUGAUUUUAUAUGUUUUUUAUGUGUGAUUUUAGACAUCUAUCAUAGCAAACAUACAAGGAACUAAAAGUCAAGUCCUGACCAUUUGAGGAAUGAAUGACAGUACCAUUGUUGGUGCAAAAUAUUAAUAUUACUUGGCUAAAAAUGUUGGGCCCGUGCUUAGCACGGGCGACACUCAUCUAGUAUUAUAUAUAUAGAGUAACAAUUAACCAUCAAUUCAACUUGCAACAUUAUACUUGUCCCUAAGUUCAAGAACAUUGUACCUGUGCAAUUUACUUUCUUUUCCACCCAACCACAUAAAUGUCAUAAGGUUCCAAUAUAUUUCACUAUAUAUAUAGUUUUUUAAAAAAAAAAGAGAGAUUAACCGUACAAAUUUAGAAAUUUUAAGUAGUUGUUACCUGAAGAACUUAGUUGUAAUGACCCUAAAGGUCAUUUUUGGAAAUUUUCAUAAAAUGACCGUUCUACCCCUCCCGAUAGUUGCCCCGAGUCCUAAUUGUUGUAAUUUCGAAGUUGGUUUGAAGGAAAAUUGAUGAAAAGUUGAGUUUUUGGAAAGUUGAGUUUUUAAGAGUUAAAGUUUGGUUAAAAGUGCUAUUUCGAGUCAUUUGGAGUUUUGAGACUCGAAUCGGAUUUCUGUCGAUUCCAGCAGUUUUAGAAUGUCAAAACGGGUCAGUGAGGAUUUACGGAGUUGAAUUUGGAGUUAAAACGAAGAUUUGAGGUCCUAAGUUGCAAAAAUUGUGAAAUUUUGAUCAAGAGUUGACUUUGGUCAACAAACAAGGUUCCGGGGCUCGAAAUGGAAUUCCGAGGGCACCGUUGGAUUCAGGGGAUGAUUCUAAGUCUAGAAUGAGUCUUGGUUGAAUUUUUAGAGGCCCCAAGUGCGUUUCGAGUUUUUGAGCCUAAAGUUAGUUUCUUGACGCCUUAUCGGAUACCGGGUCAAGGAGACCUCGAAUUCAAAUUCCGACGAUUUCAUUGAGUCCGAAAUGUCAUUUUCAAGCUAGUAGCAUAUUUGGUUUGUGUUCGGGAAGUGCCAAAUGAGUUUUGGGUGAGCUUUUAAGCUUCUUGGAUGCUUUGACACUAUUUCAGCAAAUUGUGGCAACUAAAGGGUUCAUUAUUAGUUUUAAAGGUCGAAAAAUUAUUCUGAAGGUUCUGAAAUUUUGAGCAUGAAUUAUAGGACUUAUCUGCAAAUUUUGGUGCAUUUUCGCUAACCCGAGAUUGGAUUUUUAUCGCAAAUAAGAAAUAAUUGUUUACCGAGUAGAAAUGAUAUUUGACUGAACAACGAGCAUGAAAUUGACCUCCGAUUGAAUGAGCAAGUCCGUAUCAUUAUUUAAGACUUUUACAAAAAAGAAUCGGGUCAUUUCACUAUCGUAUGAGGAAAUUACGGCCUUUUUAGUGAAAGAUCAACUGCUGUUUUCUGGUGCAUAACAGCCAUGUACUGUUAUAAAAAUCUCAGUCUAUGUUCAUUUGGUAUUUUGAGCAUAUUGGGAGUUCUAGAGAUCAGAAUGGAGUGAUUCUUAUGGGUUUCUUCUUGAAUUAAUAUGAGGGUUAGUAUUCAAUCUUCAAUUCGACAUUUUCUCAUAAUUUCUUUAUCUGAUUUUUUUCCUAUCCGUAAAUCUCUUGGGAAAAAUUGGGGUUUUAUCUAUUUGGACUCCCUUUUUGAUAAAAAGGUAUAUUUACGAUCCUUAUGUUAUGGGCAAACUGAGAUUAACAUAAAAUUAUUGAUUCAUCGAUUAUUUUCACCAUAUUAACCGCGUACAAUUUGGACUUUCUCGGUAAAGUUAAAGUUUGAUAAAUUGAGAAUUUCAAGGUCGAUCUUAACUCUGUUUUUGAUGAAAUUUCAUAUUUGAACUUAUCUAAGCACGGGUAAGAUGUUUUUCAAGAGAUAUUUCAUUUUCGAGUCGGGGUUUGAAAUCCGAAUAUUUUAGGCUUCUUCAAGAACGUGGAUCUUCCUUCAAAUUGAGUUUGUGAACUCAUUUCAACUCCUUUUUCGAAACGGUUUUCACUAUUGGAUUCUAAAUUUCUUGGGGAACAUUUUUCACUAAAAAUUUCCAGAUUUCGAGAAUAUUUUCCGGAACGAGAUUUUUGACCAUUUUACCCUUGUUCUCCAAAUUUCACGAUAUUGGUGUUGUUAGAUUCGUAUUGAUUGUGGGAUUCCAUUUAUGAAUAGAUUGUGGUGAUUUGGAGCGUGCUCGGAAGGGUAAAACUCAAAUUUGAGUUACUAGUUGAAGUGUUUUGAGGCAAGUGACUUCUAAACUUUGUUAAACUCUUAGACUACGCAUGACUACUUUCCUAAUUGUGUUGGGGAGUAAUGGGGAUUGAGGAUGAGUUUUAUUUGUUGAUUGAAAUUGUUGUAAAUGAAAGAUGGGGAAAUAAAACGAGCUAAAUGUGUUAUAUGUGACUUGAAUUUGUUGAAUAAGUCAUGUGAUAACUCAUAUUGAGGGGAUAGAAGAGCAUGAGUAGGCUAUGAUUGAUACAGACAUUGAUGUUGAAACAGAUGAUGUGUAAUACUAUGAUGUGGCCGUGAUAUGGUUGUGAUUGAGACAUAUGAUGUGUAAUACUAUGAUGUGGCCGUGAUAUGGUUGUGAUUGAGACAUAUGAUGUGUAAUACUAUGAUGUGGCCGUGAUAUGGUUGUGAUUGAGACAUAUGAUGUGUAAUACUAUGAUGUGGCCGUGAUAUGGUUGUGAUUGAGACAUAUGAUGUGUAAUACUAUGAUGUGGCCGUGAUAUGGUUGUGAUUGAGACAGAUGAUGUGUAAUACUAUGAUGUGGCCGUGAUAUGGUUGUGAUUGAGACAGAUGAUGUGUAAUACUAUGAUGUGAUCGUGAUAUGAUUGUGAUUGAUGACAUGUGCAUAUUCAUUAUUCAUCCCAUGUGUGAACUAUCUGUUGCAUGAGUUCUGAGACACUGAUAUGAGGAUGGAUGGAUAUGAGACACAGUUGAGACUAGCUCCGGCUAGCGAUUUGGAUGCCGAUGGGAUCUGGUUCCGGCGGUGAUACAUGGUCCAUGUGUGGCCCCCAUGGGUUCUGAUUUGAGUAUUCAGCGCGGACUGAUUACGUCAACAGAUGUGUAUCGUAGGACAGACAUGCAUCACGACUACAUGACAUCAUUAUUGCAUUUUGCAUCGCAUUUGCCUUAUCUUUGUCUGUGAUGUGUGGAUUGUAUCGGUUUACCCUUCUUAUGUGGAAUUUGAUCUACUUGCUCUUAUUUGUUGAUCUGAGGUUGAUGAGGAUAUACUGUUGGUUCUGGCUGUUGAAUAUGAUCUGUUUAGUAUAGGUUGGUUGGUUUGCUGCUAGAUUGAAGUUUCGGUGGUUCGGUUGGGAUUGAAAGAAGUUGUUUGUAGCUGCUAGUUUAGCUUAGUUUAGUGUUACUUGCGAGUACCUGUGGUUUUCGGUACUCACCCUUGCUUCUACACAAUUGUGUAGGUUGACAGCUCUCUCAGAUUCGGCUUAGUAUUUUCUUUAGCAGAUUGAGCUUCGGGACAUACUCGAGAGGUAGCGGUUCAUUCCAGACGUGCCCUUGAGUUAUCUUUACUUUCAGUUUUGUUCUAUUCGAGAACUAUACUCUGAGACUUGUAUAUUUUUAUUCGAAUUCUGUAUUUAGAGGUUUGUACAUGUGACAACCAAAUUCUGGGUAGUGUUGAGUCUUAAUUAAAGUCUUUCGCUUAUUUAUUAUCUUUUAUUCUCAUAUUUCUACUUCUCUAUCGUUGUGGUUGGGUUACGCUGACGUGUCUGGUGGGAAAUGGACACGUGCCAUCACAUCCGGAUUUGGGGUGUGACAUUAGUUGCUUCUCAUUGACGCCGCACACUGCACAUGGUUUGUCCCUAUUCUCUUUAUUUCUUUUCUUAAAUAAUUAUGUACUAAAAGUGACAAAUUCUAUUAACUUAUUUUAAUAUAUAUUCAAAUAGUAUAGGAUUUUAAAUAAAUUUUAGAUUUGGCUCAUUAUUAUCGACUAAAUUAAUUAUUUAAUAAAUAUCCAUUAAUUAACUAAACAUAGUUAUCGAAUAGUUCAAAAUUCUCAAACCAACUUCACUGACUGAUCAAGAAAUGACUUGUAGCAACUAUCGAGAUGGGUAAAACAAUACUUUUUAUGAAAGUUUUAAAAAAAAGACCUUUUGGGUCAUUACACUUCUUCUCCAUCCACCACCAAAUAUCAUCAUAACCAUUAUCAAUAUCAUUUUUCUUCUUCUUCAUCAUCCUCAAUUUCCUCUCUUUUUUCACCCAUUACUUGGCGACACCAUAUCCAUAAAGUUGUCAUCUUCACCAAAUUCAAAAAUUAAUUAAUCUUCUUCAACACCUUCAAUUUUCUCUCUUUUUUCCUCCCAUUACCCAAAAUCACCAUAUCCAUAAAGUAGUCAUUACAAUCAAACCUAAAAAUUGAUUAACAACCACAAUAUCUUUAACAAAGUCAAAAAAACAAGAAGAUAAAAACAAUCAACCAAAAUCAGCUAAACAUAACUUAUGUAUUUAUUUAGAUAUAUCUGAAAUUCUUUUCAGAUCAUUCCUUUAGUAAAAAUUAUCACAAAAUACAAUUAUUUUACUAAUAAAUCUAUGAGAAUUAACCUAUUGCUAGUCAAAAAGAAAAGUUGUGCUUUGAGAUUGUGUUGUAAAAUGAAGGAUGAAGAAGAAGAGAUGUGAAAAAGAAGAAGAAUAGGAGUGAAGAAGAAGAGGUGUGUGGGUAGUGGUGGGGGUGGAGGGGGUUGAAAGCUGAUUCUAAUUAUUAUUUUCAUUUUUAUUUCUAACUGAUAUGUUUAGUUUUUAUUUUCAUUUUAUUUCUUUGCCACGUCAGUUUUAAGGGGUAAAUAAAUUCAUUUUUGAUAAGUAAAGGUGUGUAAUAGGUCAUAAUGAUAGUUUAAGUGUGUAAGUGACUUUUUGAGACGAGUUCAAGGGGAUAUUUAUGUCUUUUAUAAAAAAUAAACUAAAUCAUAAUGAAAGACAAUAAAUAAAAUGGGACAAGAGCGGUUAACUCCAAAUUAGAAUUCGGUUUUUCAGUGUUCAUUUUUCUAAUCCGAAAUCAAAUCAAAAACCAAACAAAGCAAAUCCAAUACCAAAUCACAAAAUCAAAAAAAAGCAAUUCAAAUUAAAAUUCGGUUCGAUUUGGUUUGGUAUUUCGGUUUAAUCCAUAUAGUGCACACCCCUAAAUACAUGUAUAAGUUAUGCAUAAUUUUAUAUUAUUUUAUAUAGGAUAAAAGAUGGAAUAAAUUAUAUAUAUUAUGAAUAAUUGUAUAUUAUUUUUUUCAAGAUAAAAGAUGCAAUAACUUAUACAUAACUAAUAAUUGUAUAAAAACAAAACAUGGAUUUUCUAAUGGAUACCAGUCAAGAGGAGGAAGAGGUAAUAUCCUCAUCCAGCAUGGAAACAAACAGCUGGUAACCGCUAAUAUUGCAUCUAGUUCCAGUGGAACCAGUGGGAUGGAUAUAAAUCAUCCGAUGUAUAAGGAGUUUAUGGAUUUUAUGAAAUCCAAGAAAGAGUCAGAUAAUAAUAAUCCACCAUCAUACUCUUCAAUUUUAAUAGAUGAUGAGAACAUAGAGGUUUUUGAUAUGAACGACAAGAAAGAAGUUAUACUUCUUUUAGAAGAAAAUGAUCUCAAAUGGAGGAAUGAGCCAUGGCAGAUAAUGGCUAGGUAUUUGGAUACAGUAUCUUAUACUAAUAUUGUGUACAAAUACAGAAUGCACUAUGAGAUAAUACUCUCAUCUAUAGGAUGCGAAUUUCAGCAUUUUUACCCUGCUAAUACCAAGAAAGUUUACAACUUUUCAAAAUUGAUUAUAAAAAAGAUUAUAGCACCUGAAGAGUGGGGUAUGAGUACUUUAAAGGAAUUGGAUUAUAUCCACCCAGAGCAAAAAGUUGCUGUAAAAUACAAUUAUUGGGAUUAUAUCGAUGGAUUUAAUAAGGUCCUGUUAUAUGAAAAUGCUAAUAGGAAGCAUUCGUGGUUUAUUAAAAUAUGUUCUAAUAUAUUUGACAGGCAUAUUCCUAAUUGGUUCUGCAAAUGGUGGACUUUAUAUGGUCCUUCAGUAAAAAAUCUUACCAGAAUCAUACAAGAAAUUAUAUUUGGAAUGGGUAGACAUAUCCCCAAAAUUAAUUAAGUUACAGAAAGAGAAUAUAUUCUUUGAGGGAAUAUCCUUGAUGUAUUUCUUCAUUGAAUUUUCAAUUCCUUGGAUUAUGAAAUGGUCAAUAGAAGUUAAUACUACUUCAGAAGGAUUUCCUUGUCUGCAGAGAACUUUUUAUACUAAGUUCUGGAGUAAAUUACUUCAGAAGAACCCUGAAGGCAAGUUAUAUGGCCAAGAGAUUAUUGAUUUAAUAAAUGUUAAAAUUAGUCAAUAUGAGGCUGUUGUUAUGGAACCGUCUAUCAUAGAAGAUUUAAGUCCAUUAAAAAAGAUUACAAGAAAACUUCAAAUGAAGAAAGGACUUAUCUCUAAGUCAGAAGCUAUUGCCAUAUAUAUGGAAGAAGUAAAGAAAGAUUUAAUGAAAAAUCUUGAUAUUGAGAUAAAAGAUGAUAUUUCUAUGGCUUCAGCCAGUCAUACUAAUGAAGAAGAUGAUACAUGUAUUGCUGGAGAAGGACAAGAUAUUGAUGAUGAAGAAAUAGAUCUUGAGACUAUUCUCAAGAGAUAUCAACAGCAAAUAGAAGAGUCUUCUAGUGCAAGCACAGCUGGCGAUAAAGGAAAAGGCAAAAUAUAAAGAAUCGUCACUAUUUGGUCACAUGUCAUAAGAGGCCAAAGAAUUAAAGAUACUUUUAUAAAGAUUAGCCGAAAGUAUUGUCGGCCAUUUUAGACCAUGCGAAGGCCAUAAGGGCUUGUCGGUCUUAUCUUUUGUUUAUUGGCCAUUGUAUAAAGUUGUGGGCCACUCUUUUUAUUUGAUUAGGUGUGAUACCUCUAUAUAAGAGGAAGUUUGUAUUCAGUAGGAGGCAGGUUUUAGAACUCCCUCUCUCUCUCUUUUCAAAAUUCUCUCUCUCCCUUGUAAUAUUUCCUUAGUAAUUUUCAAUAAAAGGUUUGCAAUUUGGUUUGGAAGAUUUCAUUAUAAGGUACUUUUUCUACUUUUCCUUAUUAUUAUUAUAUUUCUUUAUGUUCAUCAGCCCAAUGAUGGGCUAAACUGCUUGUGUUGAGCUGUAGCAUACUAAGCUAUUAUAAGAUGGCGUUGUGUCUAUCAUGUUGACAGAUUGAACAAGUUAGAUUAAGGUCAGUCAUAGAUAACACAGGCCAGUAUAUGAAAGGUAGCCGAAGGAAUCCGUUGGAUUACCCGUUGGAUUACCCAUGAGAAAGGCGGACCAGGGCGGACCCGGAUAAUAGGGACUCUUUUAUACACUGUUGCCAGGGUCAGCUAUGUUCGUAAAGGUUCCUAAUAGUCUAACUAUUGUGCAAUAGUUUUCAGCAUUUAAAGGCUGAACUCCACCACCUUUAAAUUUCUUUACUAAGAAAUGCUCAAGAUCUGAAUAAUCUUUAAUCUUGAAGUCUUCAAUCUCUGGAGGUGGUUGUAAACUGCUAUGAGCAAUUUUUUCUUUUCCUUUUGACUUAGUAGGUAAAAGGGAAAUAAUCUUAUCAACUUUGUCAUGUAAAGAGACAAUAUGAUAACCCAAAAUACUCAUAUAAAUAUUAGCAUAAUUAUUCUUCUUAAUCAUGACAUUAACAUGUUGAGCAGUCACUGAAGCAGUGUCAUUUUCAAAUAUUUUGAAAAAGCAUUAAAGUUAACAACCUUAUCAUUUUUAUUAAUCUGAAAAGACUGUUGUGGAGGAAAGACUGCUUUAGUAAUUUCUCCAUUACUAAGAGUGAAAUCUCUUUCGAAAACGAUCGCACAAUAGUUAGACUAUUAGGAACCUUUACGAACAUAGCUGACCCUGGCAACAGUGUAUAAAAGAGUCCCUAUUAUCCGGGUCCGCCCUGGUCCGCCUUUCUCAUGGGUAAUCCAACGGGUAAUCCAACGGAUUCCUUCGGCUACCUUUCAUAUACUGGCCUGUGUUAUCUAUGACUGACCUUAAUCUAACUUGUUCAAUCUGUCAACAUGAUGGACACAACGCCAUCUUAUAAUAGCUUAGUAUGCUACAGCUCAGCACAAGCAGUUUAGCCCAUCAUUGGGCUGAUGAACAUAAAGAAAUAUAAUAAUAAUAAGGAAAAGUAGAAAAAGUACCUUAUAAUGAAAUCUUCCAAACCAAAUUGCAAACCUUUUAUUGAAAAUUACUAAGGAAAUAUUACAAGGGAGAGAGAGAAUUUUGAAAAGAGAGAGAGAGGGAGUUCUAAAACCUGCCUCCUACUGAAUACAAACUUCCUCUUAUAUAGAGGUAUCACACCUAAUCAAAUAAAAAGAGUGGCCCACAACUUUAUACAAUGGCCAAUAAACAAAAGAUAAGACCGACAAGCCCUUAUGGCCUUCGCAUGGUCUAAAAUGGCCGACAAUACUUUCGGCUAAUCUUUAUAAAAGUAUCUUUAAUUCUUUGGCCUCUUAUGACAUGUGACCAAAUAGUGACGAUUCUUUAUAUUUUGCCUUUUCCUUUAUCGCCAGCUGUGCUUGCACUAGAAGACUCUUCUAUUUGCUGUUGAUAUCUCUUGAGAAUAGUCUCAAGAUCUAUUUCUUCAUCAUCAAUAUCUUGUCCUUCUCCAGCAAUACAUGUAUCAUCUUCUUCAUUAGUAUGACUGGCUGAAGCCAUAGAAAUAUCAUCUUUUAUCUCAAUAUCAAGAUUUUUCAUUAAAUCUUUCUUUACUUCUUCCAUAUAUAUGGCAAUAGCUUCUGACUUAGAGAUAAGUCCUUUCUUCAUUUGAAGUUUUCUUGUAAUCUUUUUUAAUGGACUUAAAUCUUCUAUGAUAGACGGUUCCAUAACAACAGCCUCAUAUUGACUAAUUUUAACAUUUAUUAAAUCAAUAAUCUCUUGGCCAUAUAACUUGCCUUCAGGGUUCUUCUGAAGUAAUUUACUUCAGAACUUAGUAUAAAAAGUUCUCUGCAGACAAGGAAAUCCUUCUGAAGUAGUAUUAACUUUUAUUGACCAUUUCAUAAUCCAAGGAAUUGAAAAUUCAAUGAAGAAAUACAUCAAGGAUAUUCCCUCAAAGAAUAUAUUCUCUUUCUGUAACUUAAUUAAUUUUGGGGAUAUGUCUACCCAUUCCAAAUAUAAUUUCUUGUAUGAUUCUGGUAAGAUUUUUUACUGAAGGACCAUAUAAAGUCCACCAUUUGCAGAACCAAUUAGGAAUAUGCCUGUCAAAUAUAUUAGAACAUAUUUUAAUAAACCACGAAUGCUUCCUAUUAGCAUUUUCAUAUAACAGGACCUUAUUAAAUCCAUCGAUAUAAUCCCAAUAAUUGUAUUUUACAGCAACUUUUUGCUCUGGGUGGAUAUAAUCCAAUUCCUUUAAAGUACUCAUACCCCACUCUUCAGGUGCUAUAGUCUUUUUUAUAAUCAAUUUUGAAAAGUUGUAAACUUUCUUGGUAUUAGCAGGGUAAAAAUGCUGAAAUUCGCAUCCUGUAGAUGAGAGUAUUAUCUCAUAGUGCAUUCUGUAUUUGUACACAAUAUUAGUAUAAGAUACUGUAUCCAAAUACCUAGCCAUUAUCUGCCAUGGCUCAUUCCUCCAUUUGAGAUCAUUUUCUUCUAAAAGAAGUAUAACUUCUUUCUUGUCGUUCAUAUCAAAAACCUCUAUGUUCUCAUCAUCUAUUAAAAUUGAAGAGUAUGAUGGUGGAUUAUUAUUAUCUGACUCUUUCUUGGAUUUCAUAAAAUCCAUAAACUCCUUAUACAUCGGAUGAUUUAUAUCCAUCCCACUGGUUCCACUGGAACUAGAUGCAAUAUUAGCGGUUACCAGCUGUUUGUUGCCAUGUUGGAUGAGGAUAUUACCUCUUCCUCCUCUUGACUGGUUACGUCCUCUUUCCCUUUGUGGAGGGGGCCAUGAUGGUCUCAUCCUACAAAAAGACAUAAACUUUUAUUAGGCCAAAUAUUCUCUAGUAAGAAAAUCUAGAAGACUAUUAUCUUCACCCUUUUUAUACUGUAUUUCAAAAUCAAAAGGUGCUAAUAAUGCUUGCCAUCUUGCAAACAUUUGUUUAGACACAUCAUGUUUACAAUCUUUAUUAAACAUAAAUUUAGCUGCUUGGCAGUCAGUUUUUAUUAAAAACUUCUGAUUAUAAAGAUCACCUUGAAAUUUCAAAACACAUUUUACUAUAGCUAAGAUUUCUUUGGCUAUAGUGGCGUAGUUUUUCUGAGCUGUGUUCCAUUUACCAGAAUAAAAUUGAAAAAUAUAAUGUCUUUUAUUUUUAGGACAAUAUUGAGUAAGAAUACCGCCAUAUCCUAUAUCUGAAGCAUCAGUUUCUACCGUCUUUGCCCAAUUUGGAUUGGCCAAAGUUAAACAUGGAAGGUUUUUAACCUUUUCCUUGAUUCUUUUAACUGCUUCAGUAUGAUCAUCUGACCAUGCCUUAGGAUUCUUUUUUAACCGGUCGUAUAAAAUAGCUGUGUCUUUUGCUAAAUCCUUAACAAAAGGAGCAAUAUAAUUAAGACUCCCAAGAAAUCUCUAUAAUUGAGUUUUGUUAGUAAUAACAUCCGAAAAUUUAGAAGAAAAAUCAAUACUUCUGUUAAUAGGACUAAUAUUACCUCUUUCAAUAUUAUGACCAAGAAACCUAACAUUUGUUUUAAACAAAGCCAUCUUAGGUUGAGAUAACACCAACCCAUUUUGGAUAAUAAUCCUUUUAAACAACUCUAAGUGUUUAAAAUGAAUUUCUAUAUUUUUAGAAAAUACAAGUAUAUCAUCUAUAUAAACUAUUAUAAAAUUACUAUAAGGAAUAAAAAUAUCGUUCAUUAUUUUCUGAAAUUCUGAUGGAGCAUUUUUUAAACCAAAUGGCAUAACAUUCCAUUCAAAUUGCCCCAUUGGCACAUUAAAGGCGGUUUUACACUUGUCUGAUUCAGCUAUCUGAAUCUGCCAAUAGCCUGAUUUCAAAUCAAAUUUAGAGAAUAUAAUAGCAUCAUAAACUCUAUCUAAUAAAUCCUUUUUAUUAGGAAUCGGAUACCUAAUCCAUCUUAAAGCUUUAUUAAGAGGUUUAUAAUUUAUUACCAAUCGAGGUGCUCCCCUUUCCUGUUCGGCAUGUUUAUUAACAUAGAAUGCAGUACAAGACCAUGGUGAUUUGGAUUGCCUUAUAAGGCCUUUUUGCAAUAAAGAGCUAAUUUCCUUUUUGCAUAAUUCUAAAUAUUCAGAAUUCAUCUGACAAGGUCUUGCUUUUGUAGGAAUAUUAUCCUCAUCAAAACCAUCUUCAUAUGGAAGACUUACAACAUGCUUUUUUCUAUUCCAAAAAGCAUUGGGGUGAUCUCCACAAAUCUCAAGAGAGAAUUGAUUGGCCAAGAUAUUAAUUUUAUCUUGUAAUUUAGGAUUUUGUAAAAUAUUUUCAAUUUCAAUACUAUUAAUUUCUUGUUUUAUAAAAUUGACUUGAUUAUUUUUUGAAACCAACAAUUUGGCAGUUAAAUCAUUUAUCAUUCUAGUAAAUGGUUUAGUGACAAACUCUAAUAUAAACGGUUUGUUAUUCCAAGUUCCAAUAAUUUUAUUAUUAUCCCAAUGAGUGAGUGGGAAGAUAUCAUUUAUAAAAGGUACACCCAAAAUAAUUUGAUUAGUGAUAUUUUUUACUAAAACAAAACUUUGAGGGACACAACUUUUCCCUCUACAUAUAAAAGCUUUGGGUAAUUUAAACUCAAUAUUCAUUUUGCUUCCAUUAGCAGAACGAAGGCUAUGAGUUGUUUUAUGAAAAUAUCUUGAAGGUAUAAGACCUUCUUGAAUGCAGUUUAAAUCAGCUGCACUAUCAAUAAGCGCAAUAAAUUCUUUUUUAUAAUUAUAAUCUAUCAACAGAGUAAUUUUAGUGUAAAACUUUUGAGAAGUAAAAGCUUUGAGACUAUAUAAAAAAUAUGUUUUAUCAUUUUUUAAAUAAAGGUUUUUCAUAAUUUCAAGGCUGUCAUUUUCCCCUUCAAGAGAGGAAGAUGAUUCAGAAGCAUUCCCCAAAUUUUGGAGUGUCUGUAUUGCAUCCAGCCUAACCUCUAUAACAACAUUUUUUUCUUUAAGACGUAUAAUGUCUUCUUUGAGAUUAUUAAUCUCUUCUUUUAAAUCACUAAUCGUGGUAGGAGAACUUAUCAUUUUCCUUCUUUCUAAUAAGAGAUUUUUAACCUCUGCCAUAGUAUAUGAACCUUCUUUAGUAGGAAUUUCUUUAGGGAUAUGAUUUUUUUUCAUAAAUAUGAUCAUUCUCUUUUGAAUCACUGAUUUUAUCAAUGAUUUGAGCCCUGAUUUCAGGGUCUUUAAUAUUUUGUAGGAGCUCUAUUAUUUUGUCAUUAUCAAUGACAUUGAGACUCAUUUCUUUAAAUUGAUCAUAGAUCUUAUAAAGAUCGUCUUCAUCCUCCUUUUCACAUGCCAUUCCUUGUUGGCAAGGUGAGCAUUCAUCUUCAGAAGUCAAAUAGUCUUCUUGUUGAAGAGCUUUAAGAUCUUCACUUGUUGAAGAUUCUUCUUCACUGCUAUAUUCUGAUCCCGUUCCUGAGUCAGAAUUAAGCAUAAUCUUAUAAAGAGAAUUCUUCAUAUUAUCUUCUAUGUCAAGACUUUUAAUCUUUUCCUUGACUCUGCAAUCUUUGGCAUAAUGACCAAAUCUUCCACAUUUGUGACAAGUAUCUGAUUUAUUAUAAUUCUGGCGAUACUUCUUCUUUCUCCUAGAAGAGUCUCCUUUACCUUCCUCAGCUCUUUUUAGCUUCUUUUCGAUUCUCUUCUUUUUCCAUUUUUCAUAAUCUUUUUUGGAAGAUUUCUUCUUCUUAUGAUGAGUGUCCUCAUUAUCUCUUGAUUUAUUUUUAGGAAUAUCAAAUGCGAUUUGUUCGCAAAAUUCUCCUAAUUGUUUCCUUUCAUUUAAGCGAUGUCGCUUAAUUUGUUGAUUCAACUUGAUUUCAUUACACAAGGAUAGACCUUCCUGUACACAGGCACUUAUAAGUUUUCCAUAAGUAUAAUCAUCAUAAUUAAUACUAUGAUUAUCUCCUCUUAUGGCCUUCCUGACUCUUUCAGCAAAUAAAGUCGGUAAUCCAUCUAUAAAUUUGGAUUUCCAAUGAGUGCUAUUACACUCUGGUAAUUCCAUAACUCUACAAAGGAAAACAUCCUUAUAGUACCUGAAAGAUGUAAGGGUCUUACAUCUCAGGUUUUGGAGAAGAGUUCUAAUGGUCUCACUAUUAUCUGACCAUCUUCCUGAGAAAUGUUCAAUAAUAUUUAAAACCAGUGUAUACACUGCAUUUUGAGUGACUUGUUCUCCUUCUUGUUUUACUGCCAUUAGAACCCUAUCUCUUUGUUCCUGGUUGAGAUAAUUAUCCCACCAACCUUUCAAUUGGCCAGUAAAACCUGCUGUUAUCAUAUCAGUAAUAGUCUUAUCGCUAUUUUUAUUGGUUUUACAGAUAGUACUGUACAUUAACAUUCUAUGAACAGUUGUAUAUAUUUGUCUAUCGGUAUAACCAUCUAUGUUCCAUUCAUAGAUUUCUUUUCCAUUAUAACUAUUAGUUAUAAUAUGUUCAUGUUCUUCAAGUAGAACAUCUUGGGGAGUGGGUCUAGGAUAAUAGAACAUCCUUUGGAAAGGUUUCCUAGCAUAUCUCUCUGAUAUCUUAUUAAUACUAUCAUAAAAUUCUUUUUUAUUGCUAGGUUCCCCUUCAUCAAAGUUUUCAGCAUUUAAAGGCUGAACUCCACCACCUUUAAAUUUCUUUUCUAAGAAAUGCUCAAGAUCUGAAUAAUCUUUAAUCUUGAAGUCUUCAAUCUCUAGAGGUGGUUGUAAACUGCUAUGAGCAAUUUUUUCUUUUCCUUUUGACUUAGUAGGUAAAAGGGAAAUAAUCUUAUCAACUUUGUCAUGUAAAGAGACAAUAUGAUCACCCAAAAUACUCAUAUAAAUAUUAGCAUAAUUAUUCUGCUUAAUCAUGACAUUAACAUGUUGAGCAGUCACUGAUGCAGUGUCAUUUUCAAAUAAUUUUGAAAAAGCAUUAAAGUUAACAAUCUUAUCAUUUUUAUUAAUCUGAAAAGACUGUUGUGGAGGAAAGACUGCUUUAGUAAUUUCUCCAUUACUAAGAGUGAAAUCUCUUUCAAGCAUAGAAAUAUAAUUAUGAACAUGUUUGCACAUAAACCAUGGAACAAAUGCUAUUAAACGAUUUAUUCCUGAAUCUAUAAGAUCUUUAUAAAAUUCUUCUUGAAAAUCAUGUUGUUCAACUUUAUUAAAGUUGUUGAAAAACCAUUUUCUAAAUAGUUUCCAUUUCUUCCUUUGAAAAUCUUUAGCAAUACGUGCCCUUGCCAGAGAUCCCGGACUAAAAUCAAUAAUUUUGUCAGUCAUAUAAAAACAAGUUUUACCUGUUAUUCCAUCUGGAAAAUUCAUUUCAGAUUCAGUUAUAUCUAAAUCAGAAUUAGCUCUCUGAAUUGGUUGAGCUAUAUUAUCUUUAUCAAUUUUUAUAUUGUCACAUCUAUAUGUUUCUCUAAUUUGAGAAGUAGAUGCACGAGAAGGAACUUGUACAAUAUAAUCGAUAGGAGAAAUAUAAGAAGAGCUAGAUCUAGUCAUUCUAGAAGACAUGCUAUGAUUCUCAAUAAGCAUGUUAGUCUGUUCAUGAAAUCUGACUUUUACAGUUCCAUCAAUUAACUGUUCAAUUUCAGAAACUUCUGUAUUAAUAUUAUUUUGAGGUUGAGUAGUAUUCUCAAUAACCCACUCUUGUGGAAAAUCAAUUUCUUCCCACUUAAUAGGUCUUCUAGUAACUACUUUACAUUUAUCAAAAUUAGUUUCUAUUAAAAUAGUUUCAUUUUUAAAAUCAAUAACUUUACACAUGGGAUUUAGAGUAUGUAAUAGUUUAUAAUAAAUCCUAUAACAUAUACAAACAACUUCAGUACUAGGCAUAUAAUCAUAACCAUGAAGUUUAACAUUUAACAUAAGAGAACUUAAUGAGUUCUCAUCCUGCAAGGAAAUUUGUAAAUUAGGAUAAGCAUUGAAAUAAACUGGUCCAUAAGCUAGACUAGUUUGAAUAGUCCCUAUAAGAGAUUUUUUCCAAUUAUGAUUUCUACCAUCACGUAACGCUGCUAUAAAGCUUUCUGGUAACCCUCUUAACGUAAGAGGUUUAAAUGCAACUUGUACUAAACCAAUAUGCAUGAAUCUAUAAAUAUCCCUAUAAGGGGCUAUAUCAUUAUCAGAUAAUAAUCUAAAAGUCUGGUUGUCACUAUCAAUAGUGAUAGUUUCUUCUGUGGUUUUAACCACCUGUUUGAGACCUAGUUUCUCAAAAGUAACCAUUUGAUAUAUAAUUCUAGGUGAAAUUUUAGGAAUAGUCCACUUAUUAAGUAGAUCAAGAUGUUGAGGUAUAUCAUAUUCUUCCUUUCUACUGUUUUUAACAGUAGACCUUUUCUUUAUGAUAUUCAUAAAGGAAACUGUGUUGAACUAUAACACCUAUAGCUAUUAUAAGUCCAUGGCUCUGAUACCAAAACGAAAACGAUCGCACAAUAGUUAGACUAUUAGGAACCUUUACGAACAUAGCUGACCCUGGCAACAGUGUAUAAAAGAGUCCCUACUAUCCGGGUCCGCCCUGGCCCUUCUUCUUCUUCUAUUAUUAUUAUUAUUAUUAUUAUUAUUAUUCUUAUUAUUAUUAUUAUUAUUNNNNNNNNNNNNNNNNNNNNNNNNNNNNNNNNNNNNNNNNNNNNNNNNNAUUCUUCUUCUUCUUCUUCUUCUUCUUAUUAUUAUUAUUAUUAUUAUUAUUCUUAUUAUUAUUAUUUACAUUAUUUACAUUAUUAUUAUUAUUAUUAUUUACAUUAUUAUUAUUAUUAUACAUUAUUUACAUUAUUUACAUUAUUUACAUUAUUAUUAUUAUACAUUAUUUACAUUAUUUACAUUAUUUACAUUAUAUUUACAUUAUUAUUAUUUACAUUAUUAUUAUUUACAAUCUAUACCAGGUGGUUUUUGGAGGUUAGACAUGACCUCAACAUGUAGAUAUAUCAAACAAAGUAGUACAAUGAGUAUGGCAUAAAUCAUAACCUCACUCUAAAAAGGAAGAGUGUAUCUAAUCACUCUUAAGGCGUAUUGAAGAUAAAUGAGAGUUGUUAGAAUGGAUAUAAAUAUUCAGAUUGGAAUGAGAGUAUUCAUCUAUUUAAAAUGAGGCUAUACAAAUAGUCAAGACUUGAGUACUUUAAUUUAUCCACAUCGUAGGCAGUAAAUUUACUCCCUAGAACAAAGAGAUCUUUUAUAGUAAACACUUGAGUACUUUAAUUUAUCUUGAUUAAUCAGCUCCUUAACUAAAGAAUUAAACUCAUUUAAACAAUCAAUAUUUACUAGAGCAGUGAAAGAUUAUUAUUGUAGUGCAUAAGGUGCUAUAUCAUUCAAUUGGUAUCAAAGAAAAAGGAAUUGAUAUAAGAAUAAAAUCUUGAAACGAUCAUAAAUAUCAGCACCAUCAACUACAUAAACAUGGCAAUCAACUAGAACCACUAUGGAUAGUAAAAGAAUAAAAUACGAAACUAUCUAAUUGGAGUAUGAAAUGUUGUACUUAAUGGGCCUACCAUCCUUAUGAAAGCUAAUGAAAAUUGGAAGACUCAUGUUCCUAAGAGAAUACUAAAGUAUAAUGUUAAAGAUAAGGUGGUUGUUCAAAGAAAUACAAAGGAGAAGAUAAUACUAAUAUGUAAAAUUGAACUUGAUGAGUAUAUCAAGAUUUCAUCAUGUCCUAACAUUAAAGAAAUCUGAGACACACUGCUAAUAACUCAUGAACGAAUAUAUCACGUCAAGAAAUAAAAGAUACAAAUGUUGAACGGAUAAUGUGAAUUAUUUUGGAUGAAAACAGAAACAAUACAAAAUAUGCACACCAGAUUUUCCUUAAUCAUUAAUGAAAUAUACUUACUUCGUAACUUAAUUUGUGAAACAUUCCAUAAGCAAGGUUGUUCAAAAAUUUCUUAGCAUACUGCCUUAUGUAUGAAAAAGUAAAAUGGAGGUCUAAAACUUGUGAUUUGUAUAUUUUUUACUUUGGAUGAUCUGAUUGAAAAUCUGGAGAUUUAUGAACUUAAAAAGACUUAAAAGCGCAACAUAAUAAGAGUACGUAAAGAAAAGAACUCGGUUCUUCAAUCCAUUGAAGAAUGGAUAUAAAGGAUGAAAACAUGGCCCUAACAACUAGCCAACAUAAAAAGGCCAAAGCUUUCAAAGAAAAAAUAUCACAAGAGCAUCAGACAAGAUUAAUUGUAAACAAGUGUGUCACGAGUGCGGAUGCUCAGAUCACUUCAUCAAAUAAUGUCCACAAUAAAAGAUUGAAUGUAGAAAAAAUCAUGUUGAUAAGACUAAAGAGACAAAAAGAUGAACUUUUCAUUUCUAACAAAAGAAUGACCACCAAAGAAAUUGAAAAGUAAUAAAAAUAGCUCUACAUCAAUGCAAAAUUUACUGAGUCAUGACUGGCAAUGAAAGAAAAUCUAGAGAUCAAUCUCUUCUUGCUAUGGAUGAGUCAAAUGAUAAGGACAUUCUAGCACUAACGGGAGACUCUGACUCAAAUGACGAUAGAGAACAAUCUGAGGUAAAUUUUUCUAAAAUAAAAAUAAAAUCAAUUCUUAUUCUAAAAAAAAUAAAAUUGAAUCAAGUUCUUACAUAUGUCUACCACUGCAUAUGCAUUAAAAAGAACCAAUUGGUAUGUCACACCCGAACUUAGGCAUGCAACUGGCACCUGGUGCCACACUUGACCCAGAUCCAACACAUACUAGACAACUAUGCUACUACCAUAAUACCAACCACAAAAUCAAUAAAACAAACAACUAUAUCUCGACAUAAAAAUAAACUGUCGACCGACAAGACUCAUAUCAACAAAACCUACUGUCAAUCUAAGUGACUCCAAUAUCUCAUAUUGAAAAGAAACUAAUCUUUUGUAGACCAACGAGGCAGCCAUGUUAUUCUAGAAACAUAUAAACUAUAUAUAUAAUCAUAUACGAUCAAGGCCAACAAACUGUUGUGCUAAAACAAAUAAACAACAAAGUCAGCAUAGUCUACAAUACACAUUUAUACAAUCCAAAUUCUGCAAGCCUCUUAGGGUCAUUUGAUAUGAUAGAUAAGAGAAGAUAAUCUUGGGAUAAGUUUCUAAUACCUUUUAAUUCUUCGUUUGGUUGCAAAGUUUGAGAUACUUAUCCCAUGAUUAAUAAUUAGUACUGGAAUAAGUUAUCCCUACAUGUGGGCAGAAUAGUAACCCCAUGAUAACAUAUUCUAGAAUAAAGUAUGUAAAAAAAAAAUACUCCCUUCAACCCUCUUGUAUACACCACUUUUACAUUUAUAUAUAUACAUAUAUAUAUAUAUAAAAACAUAAUUCUUAACAACAUUUAUAAUAACAUUCACAACAUUAAUUAAUUGUUGUUAUGAUAAUAUAUUUUUCUAUUGAAAAAUUACAUUAUAUAAAUACAAUUUUUAUUUAUGAAUAUAUAAUAAGUUGAACUUAUUUGAUUAUUUUUUAUGUUUAUUUAUAUUUUGAUAUCUCUUAAAAUGUUCACCCCACUAUGAAAUUACAUAUUCAUUCAAUAGUUUAUUACUCACAAUUAUAUUUUAUAUAUCACUUAAAAUGUAGAUAUUUUUAAUAUUUUACAAAAUAUGAGUGAUAUAUUUUUGGAUGAAGUGACAUAAAUAAUAAAAUUUAUUUUACUUUAAUAAACUUAAAAUACAAGUUUUAUUUUUAAGCUAAAUAAGAUGAAAGUUUUAUUUUUAAGCUAAAUAAGACGAAAAUUUUAAUUUUAAAAACACAUAGCACAAUCUGAAAAUGCACACACAAAAUAAGCUAAAUAAGAUAGAAAUUUUAUUUUGAAGAAUGAAUAAAUAAAUCUUGCAAAAAAAAAUGUAAAAAACAAAAACUAAAUACGGUGGAGGGUCUUUUUGUAAACUACUUAUUCUUAGAAACUAUGCCAAGAAUAUAAGUUUGAAAAUGACAAAUCAAAUAAGCAAUAGAAACUACUCCCAACAUAACUAGUCACAACAUAACUUAUAUUCAAAUCAAAUGUCCCUUAAGAGUAAUAUACUUGGACUGGACAGGGUCCCGAUCUACCCAUCAGCUGAACAUAACAAACACUUGCAAACCUCUAGAUCCGAAAACUCUGAAAGAAGGGGAGCUGACUUGAUGAAACUUGGCUACAAUACUAAGAGCUUGUGUAAUUGUCUAUGAAAAAAUGUAGCGCUUCCAGGAAAUGGGGUGUUAGUGCAAAAUAAUGUACCAAGUAUGAAAGACAAUAGAAUAACUGAGUAGCUUGUCAUGUCUUGGGCGUGGCCGGCAUUUGAGAACCAUUGUUGGUUCCCAAGUGAACCCUUGGCCCUGGCUACUUAGCAGAAUAUGUACUCAAGCAUUUCUAAGUUUAAAUCAAAUGAAUGAAAAAUAUUUAAGUCAAAUAAAAAUCUAACAGUCUGAAGAUGCCGAAUGUAAUAGUUAUAAUUUUUUUGUAAAAUAUCAAAAAGGAAAUACUGAAAGAAUCUCAAACACUGUUUAUCUAUAAAGUCUCUAUUGUUUGAAAGACAUGCGUUGGGACAAGACCCACGACAACCUCAAACAAAAUACUAAAGAAUUAAAAGACUGGAGACCUCCAAAAGCUAGGAGGCCUCACCAAAGGCUGAUAAGAAGCUGAGUGAUAUCAAUGAAACUCAUGUUGAUGAUUCGAAACACCUAUAUAAGCAUCAUAAAAUGAUACAGAUCGAAUGACAUCAACACGUUGAAUGUACGGUAUGUAAUUAGGUUGAGUGAAACAAUAACUAGACCGAAAGACUGAAAUAUUACUCAACUAAAGUAAAGCAUAAACUUGAGAUAAAAUCAUUUAAGCUUCACAAAUAAAAUGCAAUAUUAGCCAAUACAGAACUGAAUGAAUAUAUAUAUAUAUAUAUAUAAUAUUUAUUUUACUAGGAAGUUUCUCUAACCGACAACAAUCAUUAUGAGCCUCGUGAUGAUAUAACGUCUCGCUCACGUUGUCAGAAUUGUCCUAUACCUUGCCAGAGUAUAGAACAACUCCACCCAUAAAUCUACUAAAAGUUUUCUUGAGGCAGGUAAGGAGUCGUCCAGAUUUCGAUACGAUCCUAUCUAUGGUGAAAGGGUAGGUCAUGAGGUUUAAGUUAUCUGAACUCUUAUCCAAAUCGAUGCUCAGUACUACUCCAAAAAUAUAAUAUUGUAUACUCAUGUAAAAGUACUCUCUAGGUUGAAAUAAUUUCUUAAAACACCUCUUUAAGAGGUAACUAAAGUUGUACUAAAUCUGUCCGAAAAUUCUUUAUACUUUUCUGAACAUAGUAUUCCAUUUUCAAUGUAAAAAUAACACAUUUUGAAUCAUCUAAGUUCCCUUAAACUUUUCUGAAAAUUUUGUCUUAAAAUUAUCUCUUGGACUCACUUUAAUCCUCAAAAAGAAUGGAAGGGAAUACUGGCUCGAAAAUACUUUUAGAAAGAAACUCAAUAGGCAUAAGGUUCAUGUGGAACAACAGGCAUAAACAACAAUUUAAGAAUCUCCAAGCAUACAAUAUUGUAAAUCUCAUAAUGUAAGGAUUCAAAACUCGGAACAAGAUCAUAACUCAUAUUCAAGAAUUUCAUAAACUGAGGGCAAAACCCUAGAUUCAACUUUCUACAUACUGAAUUGAGAAGUAGGGUGUUGUCACGCCCCGAGCUACCCCCGAGACGUGGACACGGGAUCUAGGACCACAAGUGAUCCCAAGCUAACCCUGCUGGCAUGAUCACGAGCAUACUAAAUAUAAUCUGAAUAAUAGAAAUUGUGCGGAAGCUAAAUCAUAAAUAAAUUUGAAAACAAAGGGAAUACCCAUAUACUAUAACUGAAUAUAUCAAAUCUGAGAGUUUAAUACAAAAGAAAUAUACAAACUCAAAAUACUAAAGCUGAAUCUAACUAUGUCUGAAAUAAGCCUCUAAACUGACUAGAAAUGUUAGGACAUGCCCCAACUAGGUCUAGCAAAACUGAAACUAAAGACUAAAAGCGAAUAAAGAAUAAACAUGUCACUAGUCCUCGAAGAAUGAGGACUCACCAUUGAUGCUGCUAAACUGAAGAUUGGGAACCGAUCUAAGCGUGAUCUGGAUGCUAAGAACCUGAGCCUACAUCACGAGAAGAUGUAGCGCACGUAUGCGUCAGUACUUGAAAGGUACUGAGCAUGCAAGAUAGAGUAAAGCUGAAAUAACAUAUAACUGAACAAAACAAUAAAGCAAUGAAAUAAUCUGAACAUGAUAUAGAUACUGAAUACUGAGCUAACUGAUGCAAUGACCAAAUUUAUAGCAUGCUGAGACUGAAUACUGACUGUACUGAAAUGUGGUCAAUGCAAUAGAGUCUGACUGAAUUGUGGGAGCUACUAAUAACCGACAUAAAACCACAUGAGCUAAAUGUGGAGUCCGAUGUAUACGCCCCAUCGAGAGGACCCAAUAUACCUUGCCAGAGGUAUAGAGGCAUGCUGGCGUGAUCACUAAACUGAUGUUGCCCAAAGAGGGUAUUUACACCUACGUGGCUCGUAGUUCUGGGACUAUAUGGGUACGCUGAAACCCUAGUCCAACUCGGUAUUAUGCUACUCCCAAUGAAUUAAGUAGUUAACUGGUUAUGACUGAAUUUCUGUAAAUACUGGAUAGCUCGAACUGAACAUGCAAACUGAGAAUGCAACAAUUAAUCUGAUAAUGAUGCAUUAAUAACUGAGGCAUGUAUAACUAAAUANNNNNNNNNNNNNNNNNNNNNNNNNNNNNNNNNNNNNNNNNNNNNNNNNNNNNNNNNNNNNNNNNNNNNNNNNNNNNNNNNNNNNNNNNNNNNNNNNNNNNNNNNNNNNNNNNNNNNNNNNNNNNNNNNNNNNNNNNNNNNNNNNNNNNNNNNNNNNNNNNNNNNNNNNNNNNNNNNNNNNNNNNNNNNNNNNNNNNNNNNNNNNNNNNNNNNNNNNNNNNNNNNNNNNNNNNNNNNNNNNNNNNNNNNNNNNNNNNNNNNNNNNNNNNNNNNNNNNNNNNNNNNNNNNNNNNNNNNNNNNNNNNNNNNNNNNNNNNNNNNNNNNNNNNNNNNNNNNNNNNNNNNNNNNNNNNNNNNNNNNNNNNNGUUAAAAGAAAUAGGAAAAGACCAAAAAACCCCUGAAUUAACUGUUGUCGGAAUGAUCGACGGAUUGUCUGACGGGCCGUCAAUCAAUCGACGGACCGUCGAUUGGGUCCGUAGGUCGAGUCUGCCUGAUUGGGCUUCACUAAAACGAGCAUAACUUUUUACUUGGAGGUCGGAAUUCAGCAAACUCGGUGGUGUUGGAAAGAUGAUUCAAUUAUCUAUCAUAUUGUAGGUCAUAGGACAAACAAUUCCUUUUGUGCUAAAAGUUAUGACCAUCUGAAGUUGACCCAUCAAUAAUUUUCAGCUAACUGGCUGUUGACCCUAACUUACGGUCAGACCUACGGACAGUGGAUCGAUUGACGGUCCGUGCUGGUCGAUCGUAGUUUGUGUCAGAGACUAGGUAAAUAAGGUCUCGAUCCAUGGACACAGACCACGGACCGUGGUCUGACCUACGGACCGUGAGUCUGUCAGUGGGUCGAGACUUAGCUGAUUUUUCUGAGCUUGGCUGGGGAGGGGUUGCAGUGGUGAACCACGGACCACCAGCACGGGCCGUGGUCUGACCUAUGGUCCGUGGAUGGCAACCGUGGGUUGCACUUGUAACUUCUCAAAAUCUGCAUUUUUGGUCUGUUUCGAAUACGGGAUGUUACAGGUGUGAGGACGAACUAGUCCAACACUAUGAAUAAUCUUACAUACCUGAAACGCUUUAAAUUCUUGAGAAUUUUUGAAGAAAAUUACACCAAUAACUUGUAUUUGAAACUCAGAGGUAGAUUUUCUUGAAAAUCUAUAUAUGGAUUCCAUGAGUAAAAAGGUGUUAAUUGGUGUUAAGAUGAAGAAAUUAUGAAAUAUUAUGGUCAAAUCUUACUUUGGAUGAUGGAUGAACCUUGGAGGAUGGUAGUUUCUUUAAAACUUCUCUUUCUAGGAAAUGUAUGAACUAGGGAGUUGAACUACAUCUUUGUGGGGUUUAUAGAAAACCACAAAGUGCGCGCCCAUACAAAAAAAAUGACCUAGCGUGCAGCCAACCACCCAUGAAGGCAGUAGCUGCUACCUCAGUCUCUCCCUGGCGCGCAAUAAGAAACUAGUAAAACGGGAAUAACUUUUUAGUCUGAACUUCAAUUGAUGCAAACUUAAUUGUGUUGAAAAGAAGACUCAAAUGCCUUUUAAUUUGAUAGGUUAUGUUCCACCUAACUCUUAAUAUUCUAAGAGAUAUGAUCGUUUGAUUUUGACCCAAGUAGAAUCAUAAAUCAAAACUUAAUCGGUAAGAAAACUUUCAACUCAACUUUGUGCUAGGAGAUUCUUGCGACCUAAAUUUAUCUCCAAAUUUACUCACACGCUAAAGAAUUGUCUUAACAACUAAUCACAAUUUACAAAUUACCUAAUUAUCCGUAAAUAAAGAAUGGUUCGGAUCUUAACUUAAAUAGUUUUGGGGUGUUAUAUAGAUAUCAUAAUAUACUGAAAAAUAAUCAAGUAAAAAAGUCAACAAAAGAUGAGCAUACUGAACUUCUCCUGAAUCUAAGCAUACCAAAAAUAAUCAAACAAUAACCUAGUCGAACCAUAUAAGCCCGACAGGUUCAAACAACAAACAAGACCACCUAUUUGAGCCCCCAUAAACCCAAAAGAUGUCAAUUCAGUCUAUAUAACCCUAUCAGUUGUUGUCACGAUUCGAGUCUAUACCCAGUUGAGAGACGGUACUCAGAACCAUGAGUGGUCUCAAGCUCAUCCUUGGCAUAACAUAUCAAAGCAUAAUAUAAAGAAACUAAGUGAAAGCCGAAAUAAAUAACUAAAUAAUAGAGUUUAGAAAUCCAUGAAUGUACAUUUUUAUUGUCUAAAAUACACCUCUAAUUGAACAGACAUGGUCCCAGCUAUCUCAAAACCAAAGACAGUAUGAAGGAAAAUCUAGUGACCUAAACUAAUGGAGUUCAUAAAUGAGGAGGGCUCAUCAAGUGCUAACUGGAAAUUCUGAAACCUUACUAGCCACGAGUCUGAGUAUGAGAGUCAGAAUUUACAUCAUAAAAGGAUGCAAUGCAGAGAAUAAUAUGCGUCAGUAUCUGAAAUGUACUGAGUAAGCAAGGGACACCAACAUAAUUAUUUAGAAUGACAUAAACAAGGACAUUGAAAUAAAAUUUCCAAGAUCAUAUGUAUACUAAAAGUGUUGAAAAGAAAACAGUUGGAGUCCAUGACCAAGUAUCAUAAAAAUAUCUUUUCAAAAGUGCAUAUACAUAUUUUAGUCUUUUUAGUAGUAUUGAAUAAUCAUAUACAUAAAAUAGCAUACUUAAAAUGAACCAUGUAGACUUAAAAGCAUAUCAUAAAAUGCAUAAUUAUCAUUUUCUUAUAACCGACAUACGUCAUUUGAGCUCAUGACACCCAACUUAUAAUUUAGUUGGAUGGGGUGUCCUAUACUUUAUCGGGGUAUAGAACCUUAUCUUAUAUUAUUUGGAUCCACUAACAUGAGCCACAAAAGGCUAAAGGUCAACCGUCAAAGUGGUGAAACAUAACCCUACAUUGGCGCGUAGUUAUGGGACUUGAGUUUUUAAAACUCACAUCCUCUCAAUACUAAAUAGUCCUCCUAAAACAACAUGUAUUCAUAUAAUUCUCAUAGGUAUAUAAAACUUUUAUCAUUUAUAUCACAUAUGAGGCUAAGCUCAAAAGUCAUACCUUAAAAUAACUUGUAUUUAGGUUGUAAUCAUGAAAACUAUAUCUAAAAUCUUAUUGUGAUCUGAUCAUUGAUGACUUGGGAAGUCAUACUGCACAAACAUUGAUGCCAUACUACUUAAACAUUUAGGCGAAGCAUCAGUCAAACUACAUACCAAUGAAAUACUACUCUAUUACCAAACAUUGUGCUCUGAUUACCAAGUUUGUCACGACCUAGGGGUACCCCCUAGGUGUAACAUGGCGUACUAGACCCCGAAGGGGUCUCAUACAAGCCCUUAGCAUAAUCAUAAACAUAGGUCAUAGAAAUCAUGCGGAAUUUAAAAUUUUUACAAUCGAAGUCUUUUGAUUUGUCUCAAAAAUAGGAUUCUAACAUUAUCUCAAUGAACCAUCUAUUACAAUAGAAUUUCAAUAAGGGCAUAGCCCUUUACAAUAAAGUCUCUAAGUAGAACAUACGAAAGGAAACUAGAAAUGAAUAAUGUCUUGUCCUCGAACUAUGAGGACUCACCAAGCUUGGAGAAUAGUCAACCCAAGCUUUACUUGAAAGGAGAAGUAUACCUCAACGACCGGAACCUACACUUAUAAGAAAAUGUAGAAAAUAUGGGUUAGCACAAAUAUUGUACAAAGUAUGGACGACAUGCAUAAAAAUCCUUCAAACAUGCUUAAAAGAUACAUUUAGUUCAAACCAUGUAUUUAUCAAGUUUAAAAGCCAUCAUGCACAUUUGUGAAGAAACAUAAGUCAAACCAUAUCAUAAGCAACCCAAAGCAAUACUAGUGCAAUGCAAAGGCAAGAUCCCAUAACCCUACCAAUUGCCAAGUACCACUUUUAGAUCACCAACAUCAUACAUAUCUUACCUUGACCUCAUAAUUAGCCAACAUUCAUAGACAAUGAAAUAUUCAUAUUCAUAACUUGUAGCAAGUAAAGUCAUCCUUAACCACAAUACAUAUCAUACAUGCAUAAUUCAUAAGUCUUCAUAGCAUAAGAAAAUCUUACCAUAACCACUCUUGAGGCCUAUUUGUGCAAUGCACAAAUGGAGUCCCAUACCCCCAAUCAUACUAAGUAGUACCUCUUAAGAAGUCAUAGUUAUAGUUCAUGUUCUUGUCAUAUUCAUGUUCUUAUCAUAUAGGGAAAUAUAACCUUAACCGACAUAGACCAUGUGAGCUACAUGGAAUCCGGUGUCUUACCCCCACACCGAAAAGAGGUAUCCUACUUGCCUAAGGUAGAACUAACACAUUAGAUUUUAGGUGGAUCCACUAUCUAAAGACCUAUGUGGGCACAUAGUUAUGGGAAAAGGAGAUUGCUACAAGAAACUCAAACUUUCUAGAGUAAAAUGUUUCCAUCUCUUGAGAUAACUUACAUUGGGAAGCCGGACUUUCUAACGUAAAGCUUUCACCUCAUAUUCAUAUCCACUCGGUGCUAAACAUAAUUCCCUUUAGAAUUCAUAUUAAGUCUUUACUUAAGUUCAUGUUCAUGAAAAAUGCACUAGGCACUCAAACCAACAUAGCAUCUUAAUAGCUCAUAGACUCAUUAGGUGAGAAUGUCCUUUCAACCUUAGAAUCAUCAAUAUGUGAGUAAACCUUUGUCACGACCAGAGCCUACACCCUGGAAGCGACACGGCGUACUUGACCCCGAAGGGGUCUCAUACCAGCCUUAUAGCAUAAUCAUUGCAUAAGAUACUUAGAAAUAGUGCGGAAUUUAAAACUUUUCUUUUAUAAGUCCAACAAUCGAAAUCAUUAAAAACAAGCGGCAGUCUAUCGUCUCACAUGGCCAUCUAAACAAUAUCUUUGAACAAAUAGGGUCACGGCCCAUUACAAUAAAAAAAACCUUAACAAAGUCUAUUACAUGAAAGAAAGGAAACAUCUAAACACUUGUCCUCAAUCUAUGAGGACAUACCACUUAGUCUUGGAGAAUCUCAAAUCCAAGCUUAAACUAGAGAGAAUCACUCAAUUGUUGGAACCUACACUUGUAGUAAAACAUGAAGAAGAAUGGGUUAGCACAAUUAAGUACUAAGUAUGAUAGCUAUGCAAAAACAUGCUUAAAACAAACAUUUUAUUUGAAAGCCAUGGUAUAUGCCAUUUUGAUAAAACUUCAUGAACAUAAGCAUAAGAGGCAUAAUAUUCAACCAUAACCAACAUGUCAUUUAACCACAUUAGAACAUAAUCACAUAUAACCAUUACUUACCGGUGCCUUCAUCCGGAUUAGCUCCUUUGUCCUUGUUAGCUUGAAGCACAUAGAAACGAUUUCUCUUUGGAGCAUUAGGAUAUGGUCCUUCAAGAGAAGCUUUCUUGGUCUCUCUUCCUUUUUCCAUGAGUGUUGGGCAAUAUAUCAUCUUAUGACCCUUCUUUCCACACCCAAAGCACCGAUCCGUGCCGGCAAGGCACUUACCCAAAUGUUGCUUCCCACAUUUGGCACAUAUAGGUCUCUCAAAAGAAGAACCACUUCCAUUCCCUCCUUGAGAUUUAGGGUUAUACACCCUAUCAUUGUUGACCAUAGGAGAAUCUUGGUUGUAAAAUCUCUUUUUGGACCUUGGUUGACUUUGUUCAUCGGACCUAGACCUCUUCAUCUCUCUACUCUUCCUUUCAAGUUUGGACUCCUUAAUGGAUUGAGCAUACACGAUAAGUCUAGAAAUGUUCAUAUCAUCAUGAAGCAUUGUCGUACGACACUUUUCCUUAACUAGGUCAGAUACACCGGUCACAAUCGACUCAUCUCAUCCCUAGGGUUGGACACCAAAGAUGGAGCACACUUAGACAAUAGGGUAAAUUUCAAGGAAUACUCCUCCACAGUCAUGCUACCUUGUCUAAGGUUGAUAAACUCCUCCACCUUACAUUCACUCUUCUCACGGGGAAACUACCUACCAAGGAAAGCUUCCUUAAGCUCCUUCCAAUCUAUAGGACCUGCCCUUAUAGGCCUAUUGCUUUUCCAUUGAGUGAACAAAACUUGAGCAACAUCUUUCAAUUGGUAGGAGGCAAGUUUCACUUUUUUCUCUAGAAGUCACCCCCAUAGCAUUGACUAUCUUAUACACCUCAUCCAAAAACUCUAGGGGAUCCUCUCCCACCUUAGAACCUAGGAACACCAGAGGAUUCAUCCUCACAAAGUCCCUCAACCUAGAAGCCAUAGUGCUCUCAAUAGCAUACACUCUAGGCCCCAUAUCUCUAUUAACUUGGGCCGUCAUAGCUUGGGCUAAGGUUAGAAAAGCCGACCUAAUCUCUUCAUUAGUCAUAUCCGAAGCAUCAACAGAAACUUGAUUGCUUUGAGGAACUUGGCCACCUUGAGGACCUUGGGGAGGAACUCCCUCAUUCACAUUCUCCUCUUCCAAUCUCCUUGCGGGCGUCCUUCUUGUAUUCAUAUCCUAUAAACUCAAGAGAAGGAUUAGGAAAAGGACACUUAAAGAGCUAAACCCUAAGGCACGACUUCAAGAAUAUGAAAGAAGAGUAACUCCCUAACGUCAAUAGCCUCUCGCUCAUAGAUGUGUCGCGAGUCACACCGAUGAACAAGACUCUACUAGAUGUGGCUUGUGAGACAUAAAUCCUAAAAACCAUUCCCAAAACCUUGUGCUCUGAUACCAUGAUUGUCAAGACCUGAUCCUACACCCCGAAAGUGAAAUGGCGUACUUGACCCCGAAGGGGUCUCAUACAAGCCUCAUAGUAUAAUAAUUGCAUAAAAUACAUAGAAAUAGUGCGAAAUUUAAAACUUUUCUUUUAUAAAUCCAACCAUCGAAAUCAUUAAAAGCAAGCGGAAGUCUAUAGUCUCAUAUGGCCAUUUAAACAAUAUCUUUAAACAAAUAGGGUCACGGCCCUUUAUAAUCGAAAACCUUAACAAAGUCUAUUACAUGAAAGAAAGGAAAUAUCUAAACACUUGUCCUCGAUCUAUGAGGAUAUACCACUUAGUCUUGGAGAAUCUCAAAUCCAAGCUUCAACUAGAGAGAAUCACUCAAUUGCCGGAACCUACACAUGUAGUAAAACAUGAAGAAGAAUGGGUUAGCACAAUUAAGUACUAAGUAUGAUAGUCAUGCAAAAACAUGCUUUAAACAGACAUUUUAUUUGAAAGUCAUGGUAUAUGCCAUUUUGAUAAAACUUCAUUAAUAUAAGCAUAAGGGGCAUAAUAUUCAACCAUAACCAACAUGUCAUUUAACCACAUUAGAACAUAAUCACAUAUAAACCAUUACCUCACAUUAAGCCUUCACCUCAAGUAACCCUCAAGCUAUACUUUGUGCAAUGUAUGGAUAAUGUACAAUACCACCAUCCACACCAAACUACCACCUUAAGGUCACCAAAAGUGAAUUUAUCAUUCAAACUUUCCAUCCUUACACAAUACUCAUACAUAAGAGACAUAAACAUUACAUAAUCCAUAUCAUCACAUAAGGACCAUCACCUAUGACAACCCUAAGUCAUACUUGUGCAAUGUGCAUUAGCAUCCCAUACUACUACACACACUAAGUACUCCUUUGAAGUCACCAUAGGCAAGGAAAAUUCAUACACCUUAAGUCAUAACAAGGAAGUAACUCAUAAUACAAUCCAAGUAUAACAUGCAUCAUCUCAUUCAAGCACAAGCCAUAUUCUUCAUUAGCUUUAUUUCAUUAAGAGUACUUUUAUUCAUUUAGACACUAGAUCAACAUUCUUAAUUAACAUCAUCAUAAGAGCACAUUCAUUACACUUAACAUUAUAAAGGAACACACCACAACCUCUCUCAAAGCCUACUUGUGCAGUGCAUGGAUCGCAUCCCAUACUACCACCCACACUAAGUUGUGCAUUCUUGAAAAGCCAUAGUUCAUUAACAUUCUUUGUGAGGGUAAGUCUUAACCAACAUAGACCAUGUGAGAAAUUCAUGGAAUCCCGGUGUCACCUUCACAAGAUAAGGGAUUCCUACUUGCCUAAGGUAGGACCACUAUUUUUAGCUUAAGUAGAUCCACUAGCUAGACCUCUGUGGGCACAUAGUUUAUAGGAUAGGGAGAUUCCUACUAGAUACCCCACCUCAAUUCACGUAUGAGUAUCCAUCUCAAUCCAUAUCCACUCGGUGCUUAGCAUUAUACCCCACGGAGUACUUAACAUUAUUACAUUCGUUCAUUAUGAGAUAAGAGAUUGUUACUUGAUACCCCACCUCAACUCGCGAUUGAGUAUCCAUCUCUAACCCAACAUUCAUUAAAAUGGGAUAUAGGGAUUGUACUAGAUACCCUGCCUCAACACACGUGAGGGCAUCCAUCCCAUCCCAACAUUCAUUCAUUAGAAAGCUUAUAGAUUCAAAGAUGAGGAUAUCCUUUCACCUAGGAAUCCCAUAUUAUGAGAAAGUCCUUUCACAACAUGUCAUUAUCAUUCAUUAGAGUACAAUUGAGAAUAACCCUUUCAAACUCAACCCAUCAUCAUUAACAUAAUCAUAGAACUUCAUUCAUUAGUCAUUCAUAAGUGUGUGUGUAUGUGAGAAUCACCUUUCACAUAUAGCCUCAUCAUUCAUAGGUGUUAAUUGAGAAAUAACAUUCAAUCAUAACACAAUUACAUUCUAAACAUGAUCAUAAUACUUUCAUUGAGAUCACACAUAUAUACUUCAUAUCAUAAUCAUACAUAAGCUUUCAUGAAAUUUCCCCUUAGGGCUAUGAACCAACAUCAACCCAUAAAUCUAAGAUACUACAAUAGAUAAGGAAGUUGACAUUAUUCCAUAACUAAUCCAAUAUAAACAUCAACAAUUCAACAUACUUGCAUAAUCAACCAAUUCCCAAUCUCAAUUAACCAUUUAAGAAUUUGGGGGAAAAUAUGGGUUCUAGGAAGAAAUCAUCUUAAUUCAUCUUUAAAACCACUACCCAUUCAUAAUUCAAUGCAAUAAAUCCUUUGAAAAUCGUUUGGAAUCGAAUUCAUGCCAAGAUUGAAAACUAGGUUUUUGAGAAAACACUGGAGACUUGUAAUCACUUUUGAGAUUGGCUCCUUGACAGAAACUAAGUCAAGGAUGAAGACUACCAUACCUUUAAUGGAAGAAAUCCACAAAAAUCCCUUGAAAAACUUGAAGUCUUGACCUUUGAAGAUUGAAUUCUUCACCUCCACACCUCCAAUGGAGGUUUCUAUAGAGAGAACUUUUGGAGAGGAGGAGAGGUUUGUAUUUUGGGUUUUGAAAUAAUGAAGUCUAAAAUAUGGUUUUAAUACUUUAAAAACCCUUAAAAUACCAUAAAUAACUAAUAAAAUCGUCCCCCAACCAAACUAUACUUAAAAGCAAUUUACCAAUUAGCCCUCACCUUGGCUGACUUGGAUAGAAAAUUGGUGCCAACCACGAAACCCCCAUCCACUAAUCGUGGAUGGGACCACGAGCCAUCCUGUUCCCUAGUGGUUUGUGGCUGUGGCUUGGUUUUGGGGGCAUUGACCUACGGAGGCCAUCCACGGGGAGUGGAUGGAGCUACGGGGUGUGGUCCCCUUCCGUAGGUCACCCUCAAAUUGGCAACUUUUUGGUUUCAAGGGGUCUUGGGGGUUAGGCUUUAGGGUCCUCCUCAAGGACCCCUAGGGUGAUCCUUGGGGAGUCAUACCUUGAUGUUUAACCCCUCAACCAUAGCUCAGGACAACAUUUUUACACGCUCAAGCCUCACAACAACUCAAAUACACACUAGUUAGGCUCUAGUUUCACUUAUUCGUUUUACGGGUCGUUACAACCUUUCACAUCAUAUUCAUAGUGUGUUCAUGAGAAUAGCCUUUCAAUCAACAUAACAACAUUAUCAUAUUCAUAGAUAUCUCAUACAUAGUCAUAUGUAAGGGUAUGGGGAGAAUGAUCUUGCAACCAUACCAUAAUUACACAAUAGUCAUAAGAUCUUCACUAUCUAAGUGAAUCAUAAGCUCAUACACAAUUCUCAUCAACAUGUACAACCCACAUAAUUUUCCCUACAAGGGUUAUGUAUUUUGAUUCAUCAAUAUCUCUAGAAUUACUUCAUUGCAUAUGUAUAAUAAUCUAAUCUAAGUAAUCAAUCCAUCACAUUCAUAGUUCAAACACAAUCUACUAACAGAGACCCAUAUUUAUGCUUCAAGAUGCAAUUUAGGAAAACCUAGAAAUUCAUGGAUUUGUAGACAAUUGCUUAGGAAAAUAGUAGUAAUUCAUCAAAUUGAUCACAAUAUAAGACAAUAACUACAUUGUAAUCGUUUUGAAAGUGAAUCCAUGCCAUAGAUUGAAAACCCUAGGUUUUGGAGAAUUUCAACUUUGAGAAAUAGAGUUUUGAAGGGCUUUAUGGAAGGAAACUAUCCAUAAAUCAAGACUACCAUACCUUGCUUUAGGAAUCUCCAAGAUAUUUGAGGAAUAACGUUGAAUUCGCCCGAACCCUAGCUUCAAUCUAUUCUUCUUCUUCUUUGGGUUUUAGAGAGAGAAUAUUUGUGAGAAAGAUGAAGUUUUAGUUUGAUUUGGGUGUUUGUGAAUAAUGACUUAGACUAGGGGGAUUUUGACUUAAAAACAACUUAUAUAGUACCCCUAAAAAUACCCAAAACAACCCCACUUUAAUUGGACUAAAAAGGAAAUUACUUAAUUAACCUUCAUUAAUUGAAUCCGUCCAGGUGUUACCAGCCACCUUCACGAGCUGUGGUGAGGACCACGACCCGUGGUCCUGCUCGUGAAGUUGGGGCAGUGGCUUGGCAAUUGGUGCCACAAUCUCACAAGCCUAAGUCACAUUCACGAAGGGCUCCAUGAGCCAUGGUCCAUUCCGUGAAGUUGAGAUAGUAGCUAGGCUACUUUAAGCCUCUAGCCACCAUGCCCAAGUCAUCUUCACGAAGGGAUCCACGAGCCGUGGUCAAGACCAUGCUUCGGUCCAUUUGGUGAAGUUGAGGCAGUGGCUAGGAUUUUUGGUAGCCAUUUUUCCAUGGCCAAGGAAGGUUCAUGAGCCCCCUUCACGACCCGUGGUAAGGAUCAUGGUCCGUGGUCCCUCUCGUGAAGGGUGAGGCAGUGUGCUCAAGCUAGGGGCGGCCUUCGCAUUUGGCCUUGGCUUGGCCCCUUUGCCUUGGCAUUUGCCCCUUGGCCUUGACCCUUAUAACCCCUAUUUCAACUCUAGAAAGUCUUCUAAUCUACGGGGAGUCAUUUUAUGAUUUUCAUUCUUACGUUUAGGCUCUAGUUUGACCUACUAUUUUUCAGAGUGUUACAAUGCCCUCACAACAAAGAUGAUUCCAUAUUCACACACAAUUGUUCAACACUUUAUAGCUCCGGAAUCAUACAAAAAUCUCACACUCACAAAGACUAACACAUGCAUGACUUUACCUAUAGGUUUGCCCUUAUUUUCCAAUCAACAUUCGCUACAGCUCACUCAAGAUCAAAAAGGUCUAUUCAAGGCUUGUAACGGGGCUGAGUGUAAAUGUAUGGUCAUUUAGGCUUAGUGGCUGCUAUCCUCAUGAAAUGUGGUAUGAACAUCAUUUUAUUUCCUUUUCUUCAACUUUUUCACUCAUGCUCAAAAUUCACCGCAUUAUUCACUUCUAAUGGAAUACCGGACACCUCAUUUCUUUUGCAACUUUCACAACUUUUUUCUUCGUUUUCUUUUUCUUUUCUUUUCUUUCUCUUUUUUUUUUUUUGUAUGGAGGGGUUCCAUCUUUUUCAAGUCCAUGGAUUAAGGGGGAAUUCUUCACACUUCUUGAUUUUCCUCCUCUUUUCACCACACCCCCAACUUAGGCUUUUGGCCUAAGUUGGCUAUUCAAACAUAUCACACUUCAUGAGGAUUAUGGGUGAAUGGAUAAAGAGGGGUUACAAUUGCAUCAAGUUUCUUCCAAGAAAAGGAUAAGACUCAAAGGGGUUCAACAAAGUUCACACACUCACAAGGUUGGCCACAAAAGAGGUAUAUUGUCAAAUUGUUUCACUCUUCAAAUUGGUUGCCUAAGAUCAUUUCAAGAGCUUGCAUCACUUAGUCAACCGGACCAACGGGGCAAAUUCUAGGUGUCAUCCCACAUGGUUCAUGUAAGCUCAUCACACAAGACCUUGGCAUCAAUAUCAAACAAGACUCCACACUUUUGCGAGUGUGCAAUGUUCAUCACAAGAAACUCUAUUCGAUAACCGGAUAGUCACAAUGAGAUGCAAAAAGUUCACAUAUUGUCUAUGCAACUUCAUUGGCCACAUAAUAGCUGGACAUUCAUUUUUGUUCGAUUAAGAGCACUAUUCAAGUCAUCGGUAUUAAUCAUAACCGAUACUCAAAUUUGAACAAGAACAACCACAAUCACUCACAAGAGGUGGCAACAUUUUUUAGAAGGGUCAAAAACCAUUUGCAUUCAUAAUGAGAAGCCACAAGCUCAAACAUCCACAAGGCAAUGCCAAAACACAAUUUAAACAAAAAACCCAAUGUAUAUACACAAGAUAGUCACAAGAGGUAGGUAUGGAAAUACCUCACCCCACCACAAAUAAAAAAGCGCAGUUGUCCUCAAAUGCAACAAAAUGAUAAAAAGUCAAUAAAAAUGACAGAGCGGGAGGUAAAGAAAGGUCCUGUCUACACAGUCGCUCCAUCUGUCGGGGCAUCAGUGCUCGGGGUAACAUCAACAGUACCAACUCCACUAGACUCAACCAUGGUGGUGUCUCUCAAGGAGGCUGGCGGGCAGUCUCAAACAUCGCAUCCUCUAGGUCUGCCAGAUCAUCAUAUACGACAACAUCUUGCUCCCCAAGCUUCUCUUUAUCGAUCUCCGCCUUUGAUGCGUCAGCUGCCACAUCCUCCAUAGGUACAUCUCGGUGGUAGCCAGAGGAAUCUCAGAACUGCCCGGGACACCCUCAGUAUCAGCUGCCUCAAAUAAAGAAGUGAAUUAUAUAUACUUUAGAUAGUCCAUAUCCUUCCUCAAGUCUACAGCCUCAUCUUUCAAAGCCGUCAUCUCUGAAGUAGCCUCCUGUCGACUCUCAUAAGUCUCUACUCUCACCGUGACAGCAUUAAUAGAAGUCUGGAGGGGUGUCAAUGCAGCUAGGAUGACACUCUCAAUCAUCCAAGCUAUCGCAGCCUCCAGCCGGGUAGCCCGCACAUCGGCAGAAUGGGCUAAGUGCCCCAUCUUCAGAAUCAUGGCUUGAGUAAUCCUGGUAGGCUGGGAAGCAGAAGAUGAACCAAGAACCUGGGAGGAAAUCGAAGCGGGAGUACCUGAAGGCCCGGAGGCCGGAGUAGGUAAAUAUGCCUCUAUAGGUAUCGUGUCCAUAUCAACCUUCGGGGAUGUCUCUACCGAAGCCGCUGUCCUCCUGUCUGCCUCUUCCUGAGUGUACUCGUGCUCUAUGCACCGGAUGUCUGUGGAGGAUGAAGGGAUGAUCUCGAUGUCCCUCUUCUCAUCAUAAGGAACUCCCGCACGCCAACACAACUCUAUAAUCAGGACCGAGAAUGGAAGGGACAUCUGGUGCUGCUUGGCCCUCAUGGCCAUCUUCCGCUCAAUGAUAAGUCCCAAGUCAAUGCUCUUCUGGGCUAUAAUUGACCCAAGGCAGGCCGUCUUUGGAUGGCAGAGGAUGGACUCAUUCUGUGAAGGCAUAAUAGAGAUAUUGAUGAAUCUGAACCAGUACUGUGCAGCGAUAUUCAAGUCCUUCUUCUCGAUCUGGACUUCUGCCUCAAUCCACCUCGGGGUGGUGUCAAAAAUAAGAGGGGCAAAGCUAGCCCUUGAGAUCAUCCAAAGGUGUCGUAGUGCUGGCCAAAUUUGGGUAAUAAAAAACUGACCCUCUAUCAAAUAUUACGUUGAUGUGAUCGCGACUGCAGCUCACUAUUGUCCCUCGUACCAUGAUGGACUCUAUCAGUCUGAAAGUACUGGCCUUCUUCUUGCCCUUAGGUACCAGGUCAUCGUAUGCUGAGUAAAACUCCCGAACCCAUGUAGGGAUGUAUGGGCCUCGAAACCUGGUAGACUUCUCGAAGUGAUGGUACUAGAGUGUCUCCUUCACCUUGGAAUAUCUGCCCUCUAGGCCCUCUGUGGACAACAGCUUCUCCUCUAGAAUUUUUCUCAGUCCCUCGGCCUUUAAUCUGUUGAGUAGUCGGGGAGGAGGAACCUGAACUGGUGGUGCUGGAACCACUGUCUGUGCCAAAGCUGGCACUGUAUCUGCAGGAGGAGGUGUGGCCUGUGGAACUCUAAAUGAAUUUUGGUGAGAUCGUGCACGGAUUAUUGCUCGCCGGGACUUAAGUGGCUGGUCAUCCUCUGGCUCUGAGAAAGAGGGCUGCAAAUGAGCGGACUCCCCAUCACUACCGAAGUGGUGCUCUGGUCUUUCUGCCUCGUGCACUUUGCCCUUGCCUUUUCCUCCCUUGGGAGGUGUUGUCUUUCCCUUCUUAGGAGGGUUAGUUGCCCCCUCAUUAAGCGAUAUACCCCGUGCUGUUUUGUGGGGUGACAUAUUAAUGUUCAUUCUAGCCAUAUCUGCAACACACAUUAGAAAAUGUUAGAAACAGUUCAAGAAAAAUUCAGAAAAUAUGUUGCAGACAGACUCGCUGAACCAUUCGGCGAGUCGUCGAGUCACUUAGGCUAGCCAGAUCAGGCUCGCCGAAAGGACUAGCUCAAAAAAUUUCCAGAAAAAUGGCAUGUUGGCGAUGAGAAGGACCUUUCGGUGAAUCGCUGACCUCAUUCGGCGAGCACAGAACAGCCCACCGAAAGUUACAGUGUAUUUUAGGGGUUAGGGGCACAGAAAGGGUGAUCAAAGAAGACGUUCGACGAGUCACCGAGUGCACUCGGCGAACUCAGGCUUCUCGCCGAAAGUUACAGAACCUAACUCAACAAAAGCAUGAAAUUAAAGGCGAUCUGUGGGGACUUUGGCGAACUGUCAAGUGGUUCGAGGAGCUCGACCCAGCUCACCAAACUGCUAACUUCCAAAAUAAACCCCAUAGCCCCCAAAAAUAAAAUCAAACCAUACAUAUUCUCAAUUAAGCAUAGACCCAUUAGACCCAUGCCACCGAGGUACUCAGACUUCCCCCGGUUUUGCCAAAAUUGGCCAUUUGAUGACUUUAGCACUUAAGAAUGACGUCAAAUGCUCCAUCAUUGGGCAAACCAUGACAUUUAGCACAAAUUGGGUUACUCAGUCUUUACCCAACUACACUCAACAAUAAAAUAGCACAACCCAACAAUUUAUGAUCAAUUUUACAGCACGAAAUUAGGGAAAUUAACAACAUAGGCAAUUAAGGCAUGAUAUUGAAAUUAAAAUAGGCACACAAGCACACAUUUACGAAUUCAGAGAGGCCCAACACACAUCAAUAAGAACUACGUAAUUGCAAAUGAGUUUAACUGCUAUUUACGAGUUUAGGAUUUGGAAAACCAACGUUUAAUGCCGAAUAUAUGAAUCUGUAAAGCUAGGAGGCAAAGAAUUUCACUCCAAACAAGAGAAUGACGAUAAAAAAGCAAGAAAAUGCAAAAAUAAAGGAAAUUUGAAGUGCAGGUGUGAUUGUAUGAAGCUAAAAAGUGAGGGAAUGUGAAGGAGUUUGAAAGUUUAAACAUUUGGCCUUUUCAAGCCGUUCAGUUCGCGCCUUUUCGGUGAUAUUAUUUUUCCUCGUUGAACCACUCAGCGACACACCGAAUAAGUACUUACAUCGCCGAGUUUUAUAGGACCUCCAGUUAAUUUGGGAGUCCAAACGGUGGACAAAUUCGGGCUCGCCAACCUGUUCGGCGAGUCGCCGAUUUGUCCAUGGGCCCGUCGAGUUUUACAAACUCCAUCUUCAUAAAUUCUUGAGUCCAACAGUGGUCCAAGUCGGGCUCGCCGACCUCUUCGGUGAGUCACCGACUAGACAUUUUGCUCGCCAACCUGCACUUUUCAACCCCAUUCUACAUUUUAACCUGCAUAAUCAACACAUAUUUCUUCAAAAAUGGAAAAAAAGCAAAUAAAAACUUGGGUUGCCUCCUAAGCAAUGCUUUAGUUAAAGUCGUGGCACGACGCAAGUCCUCGCUCAAACUUCAUUCUUGGGGUUUGCCAUAGUAUCACUAAGCAACCCCCCUUGUUGUCUCGGGUUUAAAUAAGAAGAUAUUUGAUCCAUUUUGGUCUCGAAUUGAUCGAUACAUCUUCCUUCAUCUCAUUCAAAAUUUUAUCGAACCCUUCAACCUUGUUGAGAAUACGAGAGAGCAUAUCCUCAGACUGGCCACCCUCAAAAUCUUUGGACUUUUGAUGCUCGUAGAGAGAAGCAUACCUAUCAUUCUCCCUAUCUCUUUCCUUCCAAGUGGCAUUCUGAUCCUGCUACUCUCUAUCACUAUCUCUCCAGUCCUUAUCUUUAUUCCAACCUUGGUUGCCACCCGGCCAUGGGUAGUUAGCACGAUAACCUUCACCUUGGUUGGCUAUGAAGUUCACUUCCUCAUUGUACAGUGCUUCGAAUUUGGCCUAUUCGGGAUUUGCACAAUCCACACCCACAACAUUGACACUCCUAGCACCAGCUCUCAUGACAUUUUUGGCCAAAAUGUCAAAUUGGCUCAUAAUCUUUACCAUUUUUUGGUCCCUCUCUUGAUCUUUCUCAAGCUGCUCAUUUGUCAAUUUAAAAGUGAGAGGGGAGAUCUGAUCUUCACGGGUGUACCAUGCCCGGUUAAUUUUGGUCAUACCAUCCAAGAGUUGGGCUGCUAUAAUGUAAGGUUGUUGUAUCAAACCUCCAGGAGAAAGUUGAUAAGUUACUCCCUUGUUCACCGAAUCAAGGCUUUGGUAAAAGUACUACAACAAAACAUUGUCGGGCAAACCAUGAGUUGGGAAUUGCAGAUUCAACUUCUUAAAUCUUAGACAAGUCUCAUGGAUUGGCUCACCCUCCAAACUCUUGAAGCUCUGGAUGCUGUCCCUAAGUGUCAUCAUCUUCGAAGGAGGGAAAAAUCGCACUUGGAAUGCGGUGACAAACUCUUCCCACGAAGUGAUGGAGUCUCUUGGCAAUUCAGCCAACCAUUUACAUGCUUCUCCCAUUAAAGAAAAUAGGAACAACGGCAACCGUACCGACUCUUGCGAUAUGUUUUUGAAGGAGAACGGCUCAAAAACAUCAAGAAAGUUCUGUAUACGCUCAUGGGGAUCCUCAUAAGCCAACCCACCAAACAACCCUUUCAAUUGCAAGAGCUGCAACAUGGUGCUUGUAAUGUGGAACAUAGCGUUCCCUAUAACCAGAGGCAAUCGAAUGGCACCAAUUCCACCCACAAGAUUUGGGUCAUUGACAUUCGAUUCAUUGACAUCGUUUAGGUUUUCGAUGUCAUCUUGGUGUCCCACUUGGCUACCAUUGCUUCCAUUGACACUCAUUUCCUCUGGUUUAAAACAACAACACAAAAACCAAAACUAAAAAUAAGUAGAUUCAACUAAGACUAAAGUGAACAAAAUUCAACUUCACCAAAAGAAUCUCAAACAACACCAUUCACUGGCAGCGGCGCCAUUUUGAUUAAAAACGUUUCGAAGACACUUCAUCUAAUUCUAAGCGUCAACGACCGUUAAUCAAUAUAAAACCCAACCAAAUGAGUUGGGAUUGAAUCCCACUAGGAGCAGUACGUGCUUGAGAUCCAAUAGGGAAGUAUGAACAUGAUCAAAUCAGUCAUAGGAAUAAAAAUUAUUGAAUAAAGACAUCAUUCAAAUUAGGGGGUGACAAGAAUGUCAAAUGGGGGGUUUAGGUUUAGAAUUAUCAACUACAAACAGUGGCAAACAAUAUGAAAUAACAAUAAUGAGACGGGUUCUUGGGAUGUGAUUCGAUUAUAGGCUAAUAUAGACAAACGGGUAAUUGCAACUAUUAGAAAAUAGCUAGAUAUUAGUAAGUAAGCUAGGCUAUAAAGGAGAUAAACUUUCUCUCAAACAAUUUAUCUCGAAUCAAGUUGAUUUCUCUCGAACAUCAACAAGCAUGAAAAAUAAGAACAACCCACACCUUAGUCCAUUCACUCUCUCCAGCUAAAUGUGUGGGAUUGGGUUUAGGAUUCACUUUGUCAAGCUGAACCCAGGUCAACCCAAUACCCACAGACCAUCAAUCAAUAAGUUUAGUUUGAAAACCUCUCUCUUGAGCAAGCCAAAACACAAGGGUAGAACUGCAUUUGCAACUACAAUUCUUAAAUUAAACCACAAUUAAUGAUUGAACUCACUUCUAAAUAGCAUUUAAAGGAACAAUUAGCAAUACCCAUAAACUAAAUCAGCCUAUAGUCACAUAAUCACACCCCAAGAAUUUGGGUUUUAGCUAGACAUCAUAAUAAAGUAAAAACAGAUACCAAAUUGAAUAUCCAUCAACUCGGUAAGUGUAGAUUUGUCCUUACAAUGCUCCAAUUCGAAGAAUCUCAAACCCACUUCCAAUUUCUCAAAAGUGAAAAACUUCAAUUCUUCAAAACUUAGGAAAACUAGAGAAAGUUGUCUCACCAGUUCAAAAAUCAAUAAUAAACUAAAAAUAUAUGAACUUAGAUACUAAACUAAAUGUUCAAAAAUGUGCUACAAAGAGGCACUCGGUGAAGUAAGUCAGGCUUGCCGAACCACUUGGUGAGCCGCCCUUUGGUUAUUUCCAUCGCCCUUUUGCCUUGGCAUUCAGCAUCCUCAAGGUCUGUAACUUUGGGCGACCCAACACUACAAGUGGACUUGGUGAUCACCAGGCUUGCUUUUCUUCAUUGUUUCAGCUCACUUUGUUUCUUUUUGCAAAUUAGUGUCCUUGCUUUGUUCCUCAAUCCAUAUACCUAAAAUCAAGGGUUUUACAUCAGUUAUAGGCACAAAAUAAGCAUUUGAGGACACUAAAUCUAUAUAAUAAAGCCCUAAAUGAGUCCAAAUCUCAGACUCAUCAGUGUAUCUGGGAGAAGGUCAAUACCAAAGUCUAUUUCCCUUUCGGGAGGAAUACCAAACCGGGUAGAUCAUCUGAGAACACUUCUGGAAAGUUAUUUACAACGGAGACCAACUCAAGAGUAGGGGUUUCCCAAUCUAUAGGCUCAUUUGGGUUUCCCCUUCAGACUACACGGGUUCUACAAUCAAUAAAAGCAUAACAUGCAUGCAAUCAAUCCAUCCCAAGCAUGAAAUCAAAAUCUAGCAUAUCAAGCACUACGAGAUCAACACGAGUGACUCUAUGGGAUAAGGAAUGGGACAAUUUCUAUAAACUCUCUUAGCCACAAUAGAAUCACCAAUAGGAGUGGAGAUAGAAAAAAGAUCUAAUAACACAUCAUGAAGAAUAUCAAACCUUAUUGCCACAUAUUGCGUCACAAAAGACAAGGUAGCACCGGGAUCAAGUAAAGCAUAAACAUCAAGUUGGAACACUUUCAACAUACCGGUAACCAUAUCGGGCGAACCCUCUUGUUCACCAUGAGUCUGAAGUGCAUAGAAUCAGUUUUUCUUGGGAGCAUUGGAACCCGAACCACUAGGAGGAGCUUGAUUACCCUCUUUUCCUUUAACUGUAAGCAUCGGGCAAUCCCUCAUAUUACGAACACUUCUACCACAACCGAAACAACUAUCCGUGCCGGCUAAGCACUUCCCCUUGUGCUUUUUCCUACACCUAGCACAAGUAGACAUAGGCAAUGAAGAUUGAUAACGCUCAACUACACUUCAUCCAAUUCUAAGUGUAGGCGAUCACAAUCUAGUAUAAACCCAACAAAGAGUUGGGUCGAUCCCAUAGGGAGUGAUACGGUAGAGAAUUCAAUUACGAAGUAAAGGAAGUGUUCUAAUCAGUUGUAAAAGUAGACAUUAUCGAAACAAUUAAAGUAAAAUGCAGGGAUUGACAACUAGUUUCAAAUUAGGGGAUUAGAUUGAGCAAUUAACUACUACAAAAAUAGGGGAGUAAUUAAGUAGAGAGGGAUCCUUGGGAAUAUGAUCAAUUAAAUGCCAAUUUCACUAUACGGGUGGUUAUCAUUUACUAAAAUAUGUUGAAUCUUAGUGAGUAGGCUAGAUUUUAGGUGCAAUAGCCAUCUCUUGAUCAACUACCAUGAUUCAAGCGAGUUCUCUCGAACCUCGACAAGCCUAACACUAAGAACAAUCCAAAGCCUCAAUUAAUCUAUUAUCUCUAGCUAGAUUGGUAGGAUCAAAUUCAGAUUCACUUCGGCAAGUUGAAUCAACAAGGACCCAAUCAAUACAAUCAUCAAUUGAUAGUUUUAAUUCUAAACUUCUUUCUCAAGCAAACAUCAACUAUUAAGCUAGAAUUGUAUUUGUAACUACAAUUCAUCAAUUAAAACUCAGCUAUCAAUUGAACCCACUUCAAAUCAACAAUUAAAUCAGUAAACACUAACACUCAUAAGCUAAUUGAGACAAAUUAAUUACAUAAUCACACACCCAAGAAUGGGGGUUUUAGCCAAACAUUAUAAAAAGCACAAAAAUGUAACCAACUACGUUCUCCAUCAGCUAGGUAACAAAUUGCAGGUCUUCACAAUGCUAAAAAAUAGUUCAAAAUCAAAACCCAACUACAAAAUCCUACUCAAAAACUCCAAGAACAGUGUUAGGGACAAAAAACCCAAUGUAAGAACUCUCAAACACUCAGAAAGUUUGCUCAAAAUUUUGGGACUCUGAAACUCUUUUAAAAAAUUGCAUUUAUACUUUCCCAGAUUUUUAUCUUUGGAGUUGUUUGGUGGAAUUAGUCGAGCAUCUCCGAUCCUAUCGGUGAUACGCCAAAUGUCCAUGUUCAUUGCCUUCUUGACUUGAUUCUUUACCAUUCCUCUUCUUUAACUUUAGGCGAUCAGGAUCUCCAUCGUUGAUCUAGUCGGCUCUUCACCGAAAUGUCAUUUCUAUCACCAAGAUUGCUUUUUCCCAGGGCUGGCCUACUAUAACUUUCGGCGAGCUUAAGUACUGCACGGCGAGUCGCUGAGUGGUCUUGCUGAUCAUCAUCCUUUCUUGUCUUCAGCUUUUUCAGCUUUUUCGCUCCUUUUUUUCCCGGUAAUGUCCUUGCAUUGCUCUUUUGCCUUCAUAGCUGCAAAUUAGCAUUAAAACAUCAGUUUAGAUCAUAAAAUAAGCAUUGACGACACUAAAACUAUGAAUAUUAAGCCCUAAAUGAAUUGAAAUCCCAAACUCAUCAACACCCCCAACUUAAACUUUAUCUUGUCCUCAAGUAAAACACAAGAUCAAUCAAUUCAACAGAGAUGUCUACAAAUAGUGCUACUCAAGACUCAACAUGAAUGCACACAAGAGUUUCAAACUACCCAUGCAAUGUUCAAUUGUGCACUACAAGUUUCAAAAUGUGACUAGCCAUCAUGAAAAAAGAACUCAAGCUCACAAUGCUUGCAUCAAAUGCAAAUUCAAGCUCAACAAAAGUAUUUGAAUGCCCUCACACCAAGAACGAUUACAUGCUCACACAAGGCUCAUCUAAAUUUCAGAAUUAAGGAAUCAAAAACAACACUCACACUCUCAAAGACAAACACAUACAUGACUCUACCCAUAGACUUGCCCGUAUUUUCCAACCACCGUGACUUUCAACUCACUCAAGAUCACAAAGGUCGUUCAAGGCUUGUAACGGGGUUGAGGGUAAAGGUAUGAUCAUUUUGGCUUAGUGACUUCUACCUUCAUGAAGGAUGUCCUACAUUUCACUUUUUCUCCCUUUCUUUCACUCUCUUUGAGUUUUCACAAUCCACCCUAUGUUCUUUUAACCAUGACUCAUUGGACACCCCAUUUCUUUUCUCCAUUGUACAAACUUUAUUUCAGCAAUUCUUUUCUUUUUCGAUCUUUUUCUUUCGCUUUUCUUCUUCUUCUUUUAUAUAUGGAGGGGUUCCAUUUUUUUCAACACGAUUCCUCAAGGGUAAAUUUCUCAAACAUCUUGACUUUUCUCCCUUUUUUCCACACCUAGCCUAAGUUGGCUUAUUCAAAAGGACCAAUGCUUCAUGAAGAUUUUAGGUGGAAAGGGAAAAAGUCCAAAUGCGCUCAAGUUUCAUCCAAAGAAAAGGAUAGGCUCAAACGGUACCAAGCAAGGUUAACACUCUCACAAGGUGGUCACAAAGAGGUAUAAUAGCAAUUUUGGCUCACUCUUCACAAAUUGUGUCUAAGAUCAUCUCUAUCAUUCGCUUACAUUACUCAAUUGGACUAACGGGGAAAGUUCUAUGUAUUUUCACACACACAUUUCAAGAUAACCUCACCACACAUGGCAUUCAACACAAUCAUCAAACAAGACUCUGUUAUUUUAGCUCGUGUGCAAUGAUCAUCACAAGAUUCAUUUCAACAACCGGCUAGUCGCAAUGAGAUGUUAAGAGUUCACAUAUGACUUAUGAAACUCAAAUUUACCUCAUUGGAAUCACAAACACAUAUCAUUCAAUGGAGAGCACUAUUCAAGUCAUUGGCAUUUAUCACAAUCGAUACUCAAAUUUGCUAGAGAACAACCAUAUUCACAAAUAUCAAGAGGUGACAAAAUUUUUGUUUGAAUCGAAAACCAACACAUUCACAUUAAAAACCAAUGGAUCCAAAGCCAAUAGUCACAAAUAAAGUCAAGCUUUCAUAACAAGAAACAAUAUCCAUAAAAACAGCCCAAAAGAGGUAGGUAUGAAUAUACAUCACCCCACCAAACAAACCUAACAUUAUCCUCAAUUUAAAAAUAAAAGCAAAGGCCGAACUAAUAAGGAAUUAUCAUUGCUGAAAGGAGUAGGGUAAGAAAAACUCUUCACUUCAUGCCCAAUCGACGAUAGCUGCUUGAGACCGCCUAACCUUUCGGCGAACCGUCGAGCUGAAACUAGCUCGCUAAAAUUUCCAUAAUGUUGGCCCUCUAGUUGGGACAAAAUGGUGGGUUAAAUUGGGCUUGCCAAACCAUUCAGCGAACCGCCGAACAGUUUUACAUCUCGCCAAAAUUUCCAUAAUGGUGGUCCUCAAGUCCGGACCAAAAGGUGGACUCAAUCGAGCUCAUCGAACCACUCGGUGAACCGCCGAAAAGGUUCUAUCAUCGCUCAAUCGCCAGUCCCUACACAUUUAACAAACAUUAAUAAAAACCAACUAAAAGUUGGAUUGCCUCCCAAGAAGCGUCUUAUUUAAUGUCGUGGCACGGCAUGGAAAUGCUCUCAUGCAUCUUCCAAAUACACCACUUCAAUUACCGAUAUUUCUUGGCAUUCUCUAAAAUAGAGCUUCAGACACUGCCCAUUUACUUUGAAUGUUGAUCCUUCUUUACCUUCAACUUCAAUUGCCCCAUUUGUGAACACUCCAGUUACUUUAAUAGGCCAAAUCACUUCGAUUUGAGUUUACCUAGGAAAAGUCUCAAACGAGAAUUAUACAGCAAAAUAAAAUUACCUACUCGAAACUCUCGCUGAAGGAUUUUAGCGUCAUGCCACUUCUUCAUUUUCUCCUUAUAAAGGGCUGAACUUUCAUAUACCUUCAACCUGAACUCCUUCAAUUCAUGGAGUUGAUUGACUCUCCCUUUCGAAGCAUUCCCCCAAUUCAAAUUUAACUCCUUCAACACUCAUAGUUCUUUGUGUUCAAGCUCGUUUGGUAGGUGACACGACUUUUCAAAUUCCAGUUGGUAUGGCGACAUGUUGAUUGGUGUCUUAAAAGUUGUACGGUAUGCUCAAAGGGCAUUAUUCAACUUCCGAGACCAGUCAGUCCGAUUUGCAUUAACUAUUUUUGCCAGAAUACACUUGAUUUCUCAAUUUGACAGUUCAACUUGGACAUUUGUCUAUGGAUGAUAGGGCGUUGCAACUUUAUGCUUGACUCCGUAUUUGCCCAACAAUGCGGUAAACAACCGGUUGCAAGAAUGAGACCUUCCAUCAUUGAUAAUAGUACGUGGGGUCCCAAACCUUGUGAAAAUGUAUCGCUUCAAGAACUGCACCACACUCUUUCCUUCAUUAUUGGGAAAAUCUAUAGUCUCCACCCACUUUGAGACAUAAUCAACCGCUACCAAUAUAUAUUUCUUUCCGAAGGAGCUCACAAACGGUACCAUGAAGUUGAUUCCCCACACAUCAAAUAGUUCGACCUCGAGGAUGGGAUUAAGAAGCAACUCAUGCCUUCUUGAUACUCCUCCUUACUUUUGGCAUUGUAUGCAUUGUUUAAUGAAACCAAAGUAUCUUGGUAUAGUGAUGGCCAAUAGUAGCCACUUUGAAGCACUUUGGCGUUUGUUCGCACCCCGCUAUGAUGACCACCCAUAGGCAAAGCGUGGCAAGCAUUAAGAAUUGCAUUGACUUUCUUUUCUGGUACACAUCUUCGAAUUUUAUGAUUUGUGCAUCCUCUAAAUAGAUAUGGUUCAUCCCAGAAGUACCUCUUUACAUCAAACAAGAAUAUAUUUUGCUUGUAGAAGUUCAAGCCCUCGCGUAUUAUCCCACACACUACAUAGUUAUUGAAUUCAGCAUACCAAGUUGAGUUGCCUUAGGUUACCCUCAUCACUGUUUAAUCAGGAAAUUCAGCCAUAAUAUCCCUCUCAUUGGAAUCAACCAAGUUGGUUUCUAACCAAGAUAAAUGAUCUGCCACUUGGUUCUCACACCUUUUUUCGAUCCUUUACCUCAAAAUUAAACUCUUUUAACAGCAACACCCACUGAGUAACUCUUGGCUUUGCGUCUUUCUUAGCCAUCAAAUAUCUAAUGGCAACAUGAUUCGUGUGCACCACCACUUUAGUUCCCAACAAAUAUGCUCUGAAUUUCUCAAAUGCAUACACCACUGCUAGGAGUUCUUGCUCUGUGACUGUAUAAUUCUUUGAGCCACAUUCAGUGUUUUACUUUCAUAAUAAAUCGGAUGGAAUAACUUCCCUUUUUUUUUUUACCAAGAACAACCCUCAAAGCAACACCACUAGCAUCACACAUGAGUUCAAACGGGAUAUUCUAAUCUAGGGAAAUAAUGAUUGAGGCUGACACUAAUUUUUCUUUCAAGCAUAGAAUUGCUUUGAGGCAAGCGUCAUCAAAAUGGAAGGCAGAUUCCUUCUCUAGCAAUUUACAAAGAGGGUGAGCUACUUUGGAAAAAUCAUUGAUAAACCGCCUGCAGAAACCCGCAUGGCCUAGAAAAUUUUGGACACCUUUUUACUGAAAUAGGAGGAAAAAGCUUGGAAAUGACCUCGACUCUCGCUUGAUCGACUUGCAUUCCUUCUCCUGAAAUUUUAUGCCCCAGAACAAUUCCCUCCUUUACCAUGAAAUGACACUUCUCCCAAUUUAGAACUAGGUUGGUUUCCACACACCUUUGUAGUACCUACCUAGGGUGUUCAAGGGAGGCUUCAAAUGAAUCACCAACAACUGAAAAAUCAUCCAUGAAUACCUCCAUUGAGUCUUUCACCAUAUCUGUGAAAAUAAAAAGCAUACAUCGUUGGAAUGUUUCCGGAGCAUUACACAACCCAAAAGGAAUCCUCUUGAAAGCAAAAGUCCCAUAGGGACAUAUAAAAGUAGUUUUCUCUUGAUCUUCCUGUGUAAUGGAAAAAUGGCUGUAUCCAGAAUAACCAUCCAAAAAGUAGUACUAUCCAUGCCCCGCAAGCCUAUAAAGCAUUUGGUCCAUAAAUGGAAUUGGGAAAUGAUCUUUCUCGGUCCAUGAAUUUAAUGUUUGGUAGUCCAUGCAUGCUUGCCAACCGGUGACCAACCUCAUAGGUACAAGUUCCCCUUUCUCAUUUGGAACCACUGUGAUGUUUUAUUUCUUUGGUACACAUUGCACGGGACUUACCCAUUUGCUAUCUGUAAUAGGGUACACCACGACUGCAACUAACCACUUGAUGAUUUCUUUCUUCACCACUUCUUGCAUAGGCAGAUUUAGCCUUCUUUGAUGCUUAACACUUUGUCUGCAUUCACUAUCCAAUUGGAUUUUAUGAGUGCAAAUUCCAUGAGGAAUACCUACAAUAUUAUCAAUUGUCCAUCCUAUGGCCUUAAUGUAUCACUUUAAUACCUCAACAAGCAAUUUCACUUGCAACUCAAGCAAGUAUGCUGCAAUGAUGAUGGGCAAGGUAUUGUUUACUCCCAAGAAUACAUCCCGAAGAUGAGAUGGGAGCACUUUCAACUCAAGCUUUAGAGGUUCUUCCAUGGAUGGUUUAGCGGGGAGGCUAUCUCUAUUUUUCAGAUCAAUAUUGAGCUUCACUGGAUUUUUUGAAUGAGAACCUGAUCUCGAUAGAGAAGUCACAACUUCAUCAUACCCUUGAACUUCGUCCUCAUCAUAGUUUGAAAGGACAACAGCAAGGGGUUCACCAGUACACAUCAUUUCACUCACACUAGCUACUGCUUCAUCAAUCACAUAAAUUGUUGAGACCACAUGAAUGUCAUUAGGUUGAUUCAUCGAUUUGCACACAUCGAACAUAACCUCCUCAUCAUUUACCCAGAACUUUAAAUCACCACUUUCAACAUCCACAAGAAUUCUUUCGGUUGCCAAAAAUUGACUACCUAAAAUAAUAGGUACUUCGGCAUCAAUGUCACAAUCCAAAAUAACAAAGUCAGCCAGAAAUAUGAACCUAUCAACUUUCACAAAAAAAUCAUAAAGUAUGACAAUGGGAUGCUUAAUAGAUCGAUCACCCAUUAGGAGUCGCAUUGUGGUAGACUUAGGAACACUCAAUACAAGUUGUUUGUAAAUGGCGUAUGGCAUCAAGUUAAUACUAGCCCCCAAAUUACAUAAUUCUUUGGAAAAUUGGAGCAUCUGAAUAGUGCAUGGACUAGUAAACGCCCUCAGAUCAGCUUUCUUGAUAACCACAUUGCUUGUCAUUAUGGCACUAGACCUAUGAGACACUUCAACUGUUUCAAAUCCAUACUCCUCUUCUUGGUAACCAAUUCUUUCAUGAACUUUGCAUAGCCAGGCAUUUCCAACAACGCUUUUACUAAACGAAGAUUUAUUGACAGACACUUGUACACGGAUAGAAAUUUCUUGAACUUUGCAUCUUCAUCCCACUUUUUGAGUCUUUGAGGAAAUGGUGGGUUGAUUUUGGGCAACGAUUUUACUGACUUUGAAGAAGAAGUAGCCCCUUCUUUGGGUAAUUGCAGUUCCUCAGAGUUGCUUUGCCUUGGACUGCCUUCAAUCUCUUGGGGCGUGUCAUUCUCCGGUGCUUGGUCGGACCCUUCUACAUCAAUGGCGCCCUCCACUUCGCUACUAGUGUUUGCCUCAACGUUCACCUUCACAUCACCACCUUCUACUUUCCCACUCCAGGUCAAAACUGCUAAGCACCUGUCAUGAUCAGCCUUUGAAUUCAUCAUAUCAUUAUUUGCACACCUUUUUAAUGGCUUGGAGCCUAGUUGGGCUGAAAGUUGACUCAUUUGACAUUUGAGUCGCUUGAUAGAUUCCAAGUGAGAGUUUACUUUUUUAUUCAAGGAUGAGAAAUCAACCUUCAUUUUUUUAAGCAUGUCAUCAGAUCUUUUGACCUUUUCUAGGAUGCGUGAUAGAAAAUCAUUCACUCGAAGGCUUCCCGAACAUCCCCUAGAUUUUGGGUUGUCACCCAUUUGCAUGUAACAUGUAUCAUGGUAGUCUUCUCUCCUCCAAAGGUCAUUUUGGUCAGCCCAAUAUCGAUUGUAACUUCUCCGUCCAUCCUCAAUAAGUGUGUUCCAACCUUGAUUCCCACCGACAUCGAAGAGCCCGGGUAAGAACCCUCUUAUAUUCUUGACAUAUUUUGCACCUUAUUGUUUUCAGAAAUACUCCCCAUGACUUGUUCAUUUAGCAACACCAUUUUGGACAUCAUCUAGGCUAUGUUUUCAUCUCGUUCUUGGUUUUUUUUUCUACUUGCUCUUUUGUCAACCCAAAAUUCAAGGGAGACACUUGAUCUUCUCUAGUGUACCAAACACGAUUGGUAUUUGUCAUUUCAUCGAGAAGAGUGGAUACUAUAGAAUGCGGUUAUUGCAUGAUUCCUCCUCGAACAAGUAGGUCAGCCACCCCUUUGUUGACUAAGUUGAGACUCCGGUAGAAGUAUUGUAGCAACGCAUUGCUCAGGAGUCCACGAGUUGGACACUUCAGCAACAACUUCUGGAACCUCAACCAUGUUUCAUGAAUUGGUUCCCCAUCUACUCGCUUAAAGUUCUGAAUAUAAUCCCUCAACUUCACCAUCUUCGAGGGAGGGAAAAACUUUACAUUGAAUGUCUUGGUGAGGUCCUCCCAAGAAGUGAUUGAUUCUCUUGGUAGCUCAGCCAACCACUUUGUUGCUUCCCCCAUUAGAGAAAAGGGAAACAAACGAAGUUGGACCGACUCUUGUGUGAUGUUCUCGAAGACAAAUGGACCACAAAAGUCUACAAAGUUUCGGAUGUGCUCAUGGGGAUCCUCAUGAUCCAGCUCUCUAAAUAAACCCUUCAUUUGCAGCAGUUGCAACAUAGUGCUCGUCACCUGAAAUAUCGCAUUGCCCACAACCCGGGGCAAUCCAAUAGCACCCACACUUCCCAAUAGAUCAUCAUUGACAUUGUGCAAGUUACUGAUGUCAUCAUUAUGUCCAAGUUGGCUAGCAUUACUCCCGUUAAUGCUCAUUUCGUCACAAGUUUAAGAGCAGCCAACAAUAAACAAAAGUAAAAUAAGUUGAUUCAACUAUAAACAAGAUUAGAUCACAACUAAACUUCACUAAAAGAAUUUUAAACACCACUCCCCAGAAGCGGUGCCAUUUCUUAUAACGCUCAACUACACUUCAUCUAAUUCUAAGUGUAGGCGAUCUCAAUCUAGUAUAAACUCAACAAAGAGUUGGGGUCGAUCCCACACGGAGUGAUACGGUAGAGAAUUCAAUAAUGAAGUAAAGAAAGUGUUCUAAUCAGUUGUAGAAGUAGACAUUAUCGAAACAAUUAAAGUAAAUUGCAAGGGUUGAGAACUAGUGUCAAAUGGGAGGAUUAGAUUGAGCAAUUAACAACUACGAAAAUAGGGGAGUAAUCAAGUAGAGAGGGAUCCUUGGGGAUGUGAUCGAUUAAAUGCCAAUUUCGCUAUACGGGUGAUUAUCAUUUACUAAAAGACGUUGAAUCUUGGUGGGUAGGAUAAAAUUUAGGUGCAACAUCCAUCUCUCGAUCAACUACCACGAUUCAAGGGAGCUCUCUCGUAGCUCGAUAAGCAUAACACUAAGAACAACCCAAAACCUCAAUCAAUCUACUCUCUCGAGCUAGAUUGGUAGGAUCGAAUUCAAAUUCACUUUUUUAAGCUGAAUAAAAAAUAGCCCAAUAACUACAAUCAUCAAUUGAUAGUUUUAAUUUGAAACCUCUUUCUCAAGCAAGCAUCGAAUACUAAACUCGAAUUGUUUUUGCAAUUACAAUUCAUUAAUUAAAACUCAGAUAUCAAUUGAACCCACUUCAAAUCAAUAAUUAAAUCAGUAAAUACUAACAUCCAUAAGCUAAUUGAGACAAAUUAAUCAUAUAAUCACACCCCAGUAAUGGGGGGUUUUAGCCAAACAUUGUAAAAAGCACAAAAAUGUUACCAACUAAGUCAUGUAUCAGCUUGGUAACAAACUGCAGGUCUUCACAAUGCUCAAAAAUAGUUCAAAAUCAAAAUCCAACUAUAAAAUCCUACUCAAAAACUCCAAGAGCAGUGUUAGGGACAAAAAACCUAAUGUAAGAAUUUUCAAACACUCAGAAAGUUUGCUCAAAAUUUUGGGACUCUGAAACUCUUUUAAAAAAUCGCAUUUAUAGUUUCCCAGAUUUUUGUCUUUAGAUUCGUUCAGCGAAAUUAGUUGAGCAUUGCCAAUCCAGUUGGCGAUGCACAAAAUGUCCAUGUUCAACGCCUUUUUGACUUGAUUCUUCACCAUUUCUCUUUUGUAACUUUAGGUGAUCAGGAUCUCCAUCGCCGAUCUAGUCGACGCUUCACCGAAACUCCAUUUCCAUCACCGAGUUGGCUUUUUCCCAGGGCUGGCCUGCUGUAACUUUCGUCGAGCUGAACUACUACUCGACGAGUCGCCGAGUGGUCUUGGCGAUCGUCAGCCUUUCUUGUCUUCAGCUUUUUCAGCAUUUCCAUUCCUUUUUGCCCGGUAAUGUCCAUGUCUUGCUCUUUUGCCUUCAUAACUAUAAAUUAGCAUUUAAACAUCAGUUUAGAGAAUAAAAUAAGCAUUGAGGAAACUAAAACUAUGAAUAUUAAUCCCUAAAUGAGUCGAAAUCCAGACUCAUCAAAGAUCCACUACCAUUUCCUCCUUGAGGCUUAGGGUUAGACACCCUAUCUUUGUUGAACUUAGAAAGAGCAUUGGAGGAACCUUGGCUGGAAAACCUUUGUCGAAACAUAGAACAACAAUGCCUAUCGGACCUUGAAUGUGAGAAGUUGUCAUCACCGAUCUUAGACGUCUUUGCCUCCCUAGAACGUUCCUUAAGUUUCUCAUUUUUUAUUUGUUGAGCAUGAAUCAUGAGACGAGAAAUAUUCAUAUCAUUGAUAAGCAUAGUGGUACGGCAUUCCUUAACUACCAUCUCGGACACACCCAAAACAAACUUAAUCAUCCUUGCCCUAGGAUCGGCAAUCAUAGUAGGAGCAUAUCUAGACAAUUGUGUGAACUUCAAAGCAUAUUCCUUCAUACUCAUAUUUCCUUGAUAGAUGUUGAUGAAUUCAAGCAUUUUUGCCUCCCUCAUUUCAAGGGGAUAGAACCUAUCAAGGAAAGCAACCUUAAACUUUUCCCAAUCAAGAGGACCCGUAUCAACUGCCCUUUCUUCCUUCCAUUGGUUGAACCAAACUUAAGCAACACCCUUAAGUUGUUAAGCGGCCAAUUUCGCCUUUUCCACUGGUGUCACUCCCAUGAUCAUUAACACCUUAUAUACUUCAUCAAUAAACUCUUGAGGAUCUUCCUCAACCUUGGACCCAUGAAAAUCUGGGGGAUUCAUUCUAGUAAAGUCCCUCACUCUAGAUGUCGUCAUACCCACAUUUGGGUUCAGUGGGGCCACAACCUCCCUAUUGGAUUGAGACAUCAUGGCUUGAGCCAACACUUGGAAAAUCAGACCUAAACUCCGCAUUAGUCACUUGCUCGGCCAAAGGGUCGACUGAAACUUGAGGAUCUUAAGGAGCUUCUCAUUCCACAUUCUCAUUCACAUUCCGCCUAACGUAAACUCUUAGAGGGGCUAUAUCCUAAAAAGCACCGAAUAGGGAUUAGGAGAAAGACAUAUAGAGUUACACUCUAUCGCAUGACUUUAGAGUAACGAAAGAAGUUGAGUUUCCUAAUAAUCUUAUAGUCUCUCAUUCAUAAAUGUGGCGCGCUUCACACUCAUGAACAAGACUCUACUCGAUGUGACUUAUGAGACUUCCUAUGGUCUUUCUAAACCUUGUGCUCUGAUUACCAAGUUUGUCUAGACCCAAGGUGGCCCCUAGGCAUAACAUGGGUAUAAGACCCGAAAGGCCCCACACAAGCCACGUAGUGUUCAUCAUACAAGAAAAUAGAAUAAAGAGAUCAAAAGACAGUUUCAACAUAUAAGAGUUUUAUAGAGAAAAGCAAAAAUCUAAACAUCAUCUCAAAACCAUCUAGUACAUGAGUAUAUCGGGGUAUAGCCUGUACAUCAAGUUCCAAAAUUGAAAGUAAAGACAAAAGGGGAAUCAAGCUCGGUCCUCAGAAUAUGAGGACUCACCAAACUUAAAUCUUUUAUAUGAGAAAUGUGAAUCUGUAAGGUCGGUCCCUACAUUUGGGGAAAUGUAGGCAAGAGUAUAUAUGAAUCAGUACAAAAUAUGUACCAAGUAUGAUAGUCAAGCAUAAAGUAUUAGAAAACAUGAAAAAAGGGACAUUUUCAUAAAGUGCAAUGACCAAGGUAAAUCAUGAAUGUAAAAGAAUGAGAGGACAUAAGUUACAAAACAUGGUCAAUGCAAAUAGAUAUCAUCUUAAGUCGCAUGUGAGAUACUUCUUGAAGUAACCUUAGCUCAUCAUUGUGGGAGAUUUACCUUUAACCAACAUCUAAAACUAUGUGAGAUAUCAACACGGAAUUUGGUGUCUACCCUACACCUAAAAGGAGUGUACUACUAGCCAAUUUAAGACCAAGAACUUCUAGCUUAUGUGGAUCCACUAGCUAAUAUCUAUCUAAGACAAACAUCCUAUGGGGGCACAUAGAUAUGGGAUAAAGAUUUUGCUUACAGAAACUCGGCCUCUACUAACGGGAGAGAUCCUAUCCAAUAUCCUCUCAGUGCUAAGUGUAAAACCCACGGAAUAGUCAUUUUCUUAACUAGUCUUUACUAUCCAUGGAAGGGCAUGUCAUAUUACCAAUCCAAGCUAAGUCAUAUGUCAUCCAUGGAAAGGUACAAUAAAGUAACCAAUCCAAGCUAGGUUUCAUUAGAAUAUCUCUUUAUCUUUGAUUCAUUUUAGGUAAGAAGAUCUUUCAACCUUAGAAUUCUUAAUGUGAGAAAACCUUUCACAUUCAUGCAUGAGAUAGUUAUGUGAGCAAUCCUUUCACAACAAUUAACCACAACAACAACAUAUUGGCUUUUGCUCGCAAAGCAAUCUACAUCAUAUCUCAUCAAUUCCAUAAGAACAUACAUAAUUCAAUAAUUCACCUUUCAUAGUUCAAGACUCACUUUCAAUCAUCAAUCUCUAGAAAACAUGGGUUAAGCAUGGGUUCAUGGGAUUCAUCUUAAAAUCAUAAGAUUAUAUCCAUUCAUGCAUAAGAGUUCAUAAAUCGAUCAAAUAAAUCAACAUUUAUAAGAACCCAUGACAUAGAGGAAAAAUUCCUAACUCAAUUGUGGAUUUCUAACUUUAUAAAUUGGAGAAUUAAGGAACUCCGUGGAGGAAAGGGCUCCAUGGAUGAAAACUAUCAUACUUUGAUGCCAAAAGCUUGCAAUCAAUAAAAUGAAACAAAAUCCACUACAACAUUUUAGGCUUUUAGCCUCCCCAGCAAACUGUGGCCAAAACUAUCAAAAAGUGUUGCUUUUAUCAUAGGCCAUACUUUUUGACUUUAGACAAUUCUUUUGCAGGGUUGGACUAAAGAAGCAUAACCUUUGACUUUAGGUUACGCUUUUAAGUGUUGUCUAAUCUGCUACGCUUUAAAAGCAUGGCCAAUAAGGUACAUUAGCCACUCUUUGCAAUACUUCAUAUAGCUACACUUCAAUUUCAUACGACCACACUUUUUAAGAGUGACCUUUUCUUAUUUACUGGCCACAUUUUUGAAGUGUAGCAUUUUAUAGAUUUGUACAACAAUAGUUUAAAGUGUAGCAUUUUCUAAUGUACGUACGACAAUUUAUAUAAUUAAUAAGCUACACAAUGGACGUGCCUAUGGCUACACUUUUAAAGUGAGGCAGUGUUGGCUAUAAAUUAUUUAUAUGCCACAAUUUCUUCUUGAGAAAUUAUUUUUGGGUAUAUUCACUGAUCACAUUAUUCAUAAUUUAUAUAUAAUCUCAGCUUUUAUUUAACUAAUACAGUACAUAAUUCCAAUGGACUGAUUUGCAAUAACGUCAAAAAAUAAUGCCUUGUACUACACAUACAUAAAAAACAAUAUUUUAAAGAUGUGUAAUUUCAAUGAAAUCCACAAAAUCAAAUGUAUUCAAACUUAAGUAUAUACUUCAAAAACUCUUUGAUCAGUAUUGCCAUUCAAAUUCAAUCACCCGCAUUUCCCUACACAUUAAAAAAGAAAUUAAAAAUUAGAGAGAAUCCUUGUUAAACAAAUUGAAUGUAAUCAGAUUUCAUGUUCAUAUGUAAUAGAUAUCAGUGACAAAACAUUAAAAAGAAACCAUGUUCUAACAGAAAAAUGUUAGAAUCAUCUGAUGAACCAUUGUAGAAACAAAGCCAGCGAUGAUAGAAUCAAUGCUCACAAGGAAGAUCAAGCUAAAAAAAUCAAAGACCAAAGAGUUGAUAAGGAUAUGAUGGAUGAGUUGCAACCUGCCUCAAGAAGGAAGACAAUCAAAACCAAACAACCUCAGAAAUCACGCAACAACAUGUUACUGGCAGCAACAUGUAACUGGCAGCAACAAGGAAGGCAAAAUGCAAGGUCAUCUGAUGAACCAUUAUAGAAACAAAGCCAAUGAUAAUAUAAUCAAUGCUCAAAAGGAAGAACAAGCUAAAAAAGUCAAAGACCAAAGAGUUGAUAAGGAUAUGAUGGAUGGCAUUCAACAUGUAUCGAGAAGGAAGACAAUCAAAACCAAACAACCUCAGAAAUCACGCAACAACAUGUUACUGGCAGCAACAUGUAACUGGCAGCAACAAGGAAGGCAAAAUGCAAGGUCAUCUGAUGAACCAUUAUAGAAACAAAGCCAAUGAUAAUAUAAUCAAUGCUCAAAAGGAAGAACAAGCUAAAAAAGUCAAAGACCAAAGAGUUGAUAAGGAUAUGAUGGAUGAGUUGCAACCUGCCUCAAGAAGGAAGACAAUCAAAACCAAACAACCUCAGAAAUCACGCAACAACAUGUUACUGGCAGCAACAUGUAACUGGCAGCAACAAGGAAGGCAAAAUGCAAGGUCAUCUGAUGAACCAUUAUAGAAACAAAGCCAAUGAUAAUAUAAUCAAUGCUCAAAAGGAAGAACAAGCUAAAAAAAUCAAAGACCAAAGAGUUGAUAAGGAUAUGAUGGAUGGCAUUCAACAUGUAUCGAGAAGGAAGACAAUCAAAACCAAACAACCUCAGAAACCAGGCAGAAACAUUUUACUGGCAGCAACAAGGAAAACAAAAUGCAAGGUCAUCUAAUGAACCAUUGUAGAAACAAAGCCAGCGAUAAUACAAUCAGUUCUCAAAAGGAAGAACAACCUAAAAAAAUCAAAGACCAAAGAGUUGAUAAGGAUAUGAUGGAUGAGUUGCAACCUGCCUCAAGAAGGAAGACAAUCAAAACCAAACAACCUCAGAAAUCACGCAACAACAUGUUACUGGCAGCAACAUGUAACUGGCAGCAACAAGGAAGGCAAAAUGCAAGGUCAUCUGAUGAACCAUUAUAGAAACAAAGCCAAUGAUAAUAUAAUCAAUGCUCAAAAGGAAGAACAAGCUAAAAAAGUCAAAGACCAAAGAGUUGAUAAGGAUAUGAUGGAUGACUUUCAACCUAUCUCUAGAAGAAAGACAAUCAAAACCAAACAACCUCAAAAAUCACGAAGCAACAUGUAACUGGAAGCAACAAGGAAGGCAAUACUGGUGUCUCCUUUUACAAAAGAAAAUGAGUGAAUCAUCAGAAAAUUGAGCACAAGUGUAACUGGCUCUAUUUAUGCAUACACCUUAGUCUCAUUAACUCAAUCAACUUCGGGAAAUAAUUAGUCAACUUGCCUACUAUCAUAGAGGAAAAAAAGGACUUCCAAAGAAACAGAGAAGGUUGAUUAGCCAAUUAUCACAGAUUUACAAUCCUAUAAUAUAGUCUUCAAGACACUAAUUAGCUAACAUAUUGUUCACAAAAAUAAACAUGUAUUAAACUUGUUUUAACUCAUAAUAGAAAGACAUUUAAGUUUCUUGUGAGUGUGAAACAGAAAAUGCCUUUUGAAGAACUGAAUCAUGAGUUGACCUAGAAGAAUGUGGAAGAUUUUGGCCUCUUAUAGCUUGUGCACUACUCGCAUCAUCAGGUUAAGCAAGGUUAGAUCCGACACCCCUGGUAUAUCUUGAACAUUCAAUCCAGGGUUGUUUUACAGCAAUUGACUAAAUAAAUGUCACAUUUCUUCUCUCAUUUCAUUCAUUUCUUCUUUUACAGAAGUGAUUUCAUUGGCAUGCUUUUAUUUUAGCUUGUUAGUUUCCUCAUCUUUCUUUAAAGAAAUUUUUAUCACUGAUCUACCAUAGCACCUAAGUCGACCAGGCUGCUCCUUUCCAAACACUGCCCUAAACGCAUCAUUAGUUGUUUCCCCGAAAUUUUGGCGAUUCUGAAGUUCAACCUAUUGAAUAAAAUUGACAUCCAUAUUAAAUAUAAGUACUACUUUAUGUCCACCUAAAAUGAGUUUAUGAUUCAUUAAGUUAACUUUAAUUGACAUCCCUUCCGAGCAAACUGUCCAGCGACUCAAGCAUUUUAAAAUAAAAUUAUCACCCUCUACCAACAAAUCAAUAGUCUUGUGAUAGAGAUCAAGAACUAAAAAGAUCUAACAAAUUUUCUUAGCAAAUAAUUCAGAGACAUCGACGAAGAACUGAUUUAUCACUGCAUGUGCAUGACAUUGGUAAAAGAUGCAGCAAGUAAUACAUGGAGAAAUAAACCAGCCUUUUUUCAAGGAAAUUCAUCAGACUGCAUUUAACUUUGUGUUGGCAAAGGAUAACAGGGAACUUUACUUCCAGUUAGCCAAUAAUUUUUUAUGUGCCAAUCCAAUUCAGAAAGUGUCAACCACCAGAUCCUUUAUUGUGCAGUAGCAACUGACCUUUGGUGCAUGUUCUUACUAUUGUUAGACUGAACUGGGCUAUGCCAUUCACUGUUCGAGAAGCCUACGUGAGCUGCAAUUCAAAGAAAGUUGAUAAAAACACCAAAAAAUAGCAUCCUCUCACGAAAAUAGUCCAUCAACUUGUUCAAAUAUCCUAAAUUUUGUAGCUCAUGUUACUUUCCUUUACUUAAUUAUAUAAUUGGUGUCCAUUCAGUAAACUAACAAAUUUACACUGCUUAGGUAGAAUGAAUGCUAAAAAUUUGUUCAAAUUUCCAUAAAUUUUCACUUCAUGAUACUUACCUCUACCUAGUUGUCACUCCCCAAGCCUACACCCUGGGUGGGACUGGCACUCGAGAACCAUUAUUGGCCUCAAGCGGACCCUUGGCCUGGCUUAACUCUUAGCAGAAGACUUACCCAUGAUAAAAUUCUUUAAAAAGUAAAUUGAACUGCUCAAUAGAUAACUUAGAAUGUAUUAAAUAACAGUCGACUUAGACAAGGUGGCAACUCAAAGUUCAACAUAAACCAAUAAUAAGAUAAUGACAAAUGAACUAACUAACUGUCUAUGAAGCCUCUAAUAACUGAGAUGGAUUUCGGGACAAGACCCCUCGAUCAUCCUAACAGCUAAAAACUACUAAACCAAUAUAAAUAGGGAUCCUCUAGAAAGCAAAGAGGCUCACCACAAGACUGUGAAUGCUCAACUAGAUCAAUGAAGCGCUCGAUGCUGAUCCUAGUUACUAGUAUCUACAUCAUAAAAAUGAUACAAGUCAAAUGGUGCCAGUACAUUAAAUGUAUGAGCAUGCGAGGGGAACUCUAAAACAAGACAUAAGCUUGAAAGGAACUGAAAGAACAUACUUGGGCUCAACUCAACUCAACUUAAUAUAAAGAAAAACUUUUCAAACCUGGAUAACAACUCUGUGUAUUUAGAAAUGUAAUAGUAACUCUGAAUGUAUGCAAAGAUACAAUUUAAACUCUGAAUGUAUAUAAAAAUACAAUUAACUCUGCGUAUAUAAGAAUACAAAAUACUGUUGUGGGAGUUUCUCUAAUCGACAACCAUCACUUAAGAGUUACUGUGAUGAUACAACGUUUUACCUCACGCUACUAGGGCCGUCCUAUACCUUGCCAUGGGUAUAGAACCUGACUACUAAGUGGAUCCACUAUUCUAUGCUAAAAAGCACUAAGGAAUCAUCUAAAAAGUAUGACCCUUUUUUCUACCCAUGGUGGCUACAUGGUUUAUGGGGGUUGGGAGUUGUCUGAACUCUCCCUCAUAUCGGUGCUCAAUACUACUCCCAAAAUAUGAUACUAGCUCUUAUGUUUAAAAAACAUAAACUCUGUGGUUUGAGAUAAUUACUCAAAAACUAGCCUGAAGGCUCUCUUGGAAAUCAGUGUUUCCUCUCUUGCUUAAUUGUGAAAGCAUUUACUCUUUAUUGAAAACUAGCUCAAAAGCGCUUUUGGAAAUAUCAAUUUCCUUUCUUGUUUAAAUGUGAAAACAUUUUACUCUUUGGGAAUACAUAGUCCCGAUAUACUCUUUUGAAGAAAUGAACUUCAAUCUUUACUCUUUCUCAACUCAAAACUCAGGUCUUAAAACAAAGUUAAAACAUUUGUAAAAGAGUUUUGGAAGACUCUAUGAACUUCUCUUGACUUGGCUCUUAACUUUCCUUGAAUUUAAAUUUAUGGAUUCAAGGAUUGUGAUUUGUGAUAGGAAAGAUCUCAUGAUGUUUAGGAGUGUUUUUAGACAGUUAAACAUGAGAAACAAUCAAGAAACCACUAUGUGAAAGCAAGUCCGUGACAUGGAGAUGCAUUUAUAUAUUUGGUCGCAAAAUAAAUUUUGAGGCAGAAUGGUUCGUGACCACUCCGUGACACGGAGAACAAUUUUGGGAAAAGGUGGGGCAGGUUCGCGACGCGGACGAGGGCACCAGAAUUUCCCGACUAUUUCCUUCUUCAUUUUCUAACCCCAAUUCACCUAAACUUGGUUCUUUUUCUCAAAUUCUCUUUAGAUUCAGAUACCCAUUAUAUGUACAAAAGAAUCUAACUCAAAACAACUCUAACAAUCGACCUUAAACUCUCAAGAACUCCUAAAUCUCAUCCCAAAUUCAAGAACGAAAGCAAUUCAAGAACACAACUCAAGAAUAUCAAAGUCUCAAUCUUUUAGGAUGAAAAUCAUACUGAAAUAAACAUGUUUGGCGCAUGGUUGAACGAACCCAACUCUAUGUGAACUCACAUACCUUGUAGGAUUGAAUCCUUGGCGAAAUCCGCACUCAAUUCCUCAAGAAAUCGAUGAAUCCUUGCUUUUUCUCCUCUUCUUUUCUCUUCUCUCAAAACCCUAACUCUUUUUUUAUGAAGCUUAAACUGAACCAAAUCAGUUUAGACCCCAACUUAAAUACCAAAAACGAAAUUAAGUAAUUGGGUAGGGAAAAGACCAUAAUACCCUUCUAAAAUCCAGUUUUGACUUUCCUUAUCUAGACAGCCCAACUUCAAAUGGGCAUAUAUCUCUCAUACGAACUCUAAACUGAGCAAACUCGGUGGAGUUGGAAAUAUAAUUCAAAGAUCGUUCCUACGGUAUCUUGUAGUACACCUAAAUCAUCCUGAGCUAAGAGUUAUGGUCGUUUGAAGUUGACCCAAAACUCAUAUAUAACUUAACUUUGUCAAACUUUCCAAAUUUGAUUAUUUCCAAAAACGGUUUCUUUCUAAUUCCAAUUCUUUCUAGUAGCGGAGUGUUACAAUAGCUCCCCCUUGGGGACAUUCAUCCCCGAAUGAGAUUAAUCUUAGCAGGCUAAGGGUGUAACAUCUAACAUCUAGCUCAAACACCCAACAAGGAAAAUGUAAAUAUAACAAGCCAAUUUAAAAUAAAUGCCAAGAAAAGGAUUAGUACUUUAAUUUGGAAAUCCUACGGAUUCGAAGAGAUUUGGGUAUCUCUUCUACAUAUCUUCCUCAGCUUCCCAAGUAGCUUCCUCAACAAAUUGAUUUCUCCAAAAAAGUUUGACUAAUGCUACUUCCUUAGUCCUCAACUUGCGAACCUAGCGGUCUAUAAUCUGAAUAGGAAUCUCCUCAUAAGACAAGUUGUCCUUAAUACCAAUAUCAUCAGUUGGUAUGAUCAAUGAAGGAUCGCAUAUACACUUUUUAAGCAUAGAAAUAUGGAAUACCGGAUGAACCGCUGCUAACUCUUGUGGUAGCUCUAACUAAUAAGAUACGUUGCCGAUAUUCUAUAAGGACCAAUAUACUGGGGAUUAAGCUUCCCCUUCUUACCAAAUCUCAUAACACCCUUCAUGGGUGAAACUUUAAAGUAAACCCAAUCAUCUACUUCAAACUCUAAGUCUCUUCUCCUAACAUUUGUGUAGGAUUUCUAACGACUCUACGCUAUUUUCAACCUUUCUUGAAUCACGAUACAUCUUUGUGGAACCUAGAUGGAUUAAAUAUCUGGAGCUAUGAGCUUCCUCCAUAAUCCUUUCUUGAAGUUCAUCCACCCUUGGUACACACAAUCUACCUUGGUACACCCUGAGCCUAUACCCUGGGCGGGACUGGCACUCGAGAACGAUUGUUGGCCCCAAGCAGACCCUUGUCCUGGCUUAACUCUUAGCGAAAGACUUACUCAUGAUAAAAUACUUUAUAAAGUAAACUGAACUGCUCAAUAGAUAACUUAGAAUGUAUUAAAUAACAUUCGACUUAGCCAAGGUAGCAACUCAAAGUUCAACAUAAGCCAAUAAUAAUAUAAUAACAAAUGAACUAACUAUCUGUCUAUAAAGCCUCUAAUAACUGAGAUGGAUGUCGGGAUAAGACCCCCCGAUCAUCCUAACAACUAAAAACUACUAAUGCAAUAUAAAUAGGGAUCCUCCGGAAAGCAAGUAGGCUCACCACAAGACUCUGAAUACUCAACUGGAUCAAUGAAGUGUUAGAUGUUGAUCCUAGUUAACUGUAUUUGCAUCAUAAAAAUGAUGCAGGCCAAAUGGCGUCAGUACAUUGAAUGUACGAGCAUGCGAGGGGAAUUCUAAAACAAGACAUAAGCUUGAAAGAAACUUAAUGAACAUACAUUGGCUCAACUUAACUCAACUUAACUCAUUUCAAUAUAAAGCAACAAAAUAAAUGCAAUAUAAAGAAAAACUUUUAAAACCUAGAUAAGAACUCUGUGUAUUUAGAAAUACAAUAGUAACUAUGAAUGUAUGCAAAGAUACAAUAUAAACUCUGAAGGUAUACAAAAAUACAAUAAACUUUGUGUAUAUAAGAAUACAAAAUACUGUUGUGGGAGUUUCUUUACCCGACAACCAUCACUUAAGAGCUAUUGUGAUGAUACAGUUUUUUGCCUCACGCUGCCAGGGCCGUCCUAUACCUUGCCAAGGGUAUAAACCUGACUACUAAGUGGAUCCACUAGUCUAUGCUAAAAGGCACUAAGGAAUCAUCUAAAAAGUAUGACCCUUUUACUACCCAUGGUGGCUACAUGUUUUAUGGGGGCUGGGAGUUGUCUGAACUCUCUCUUAUAUCGGUGCUCAAUACUACUCCCAAAAUAUGAUACUAGCUCUUAUGUUUAAAAACAUAACUUUGUGGUUUGAGAUAAUUACUCAAAAAGUAGCCCGAAGUCUCUCUUGGAAAUCAGUGUUUCCUCUCUUGCUUAAUUGUAAAAGCAUUUACUCGUUACUGAAAACUAGCUCAAAUGAUCUUUUGGAAAUCUCAGUUUCAUUUCUUGUUUAAAUGUGAAAAAACAUUUUACUCUUUUGGAAUACAUAGUCCCGAUAUACUCUUUUGAAGAAAUGAACUUCAAUAUUUACUCUUUACUCAACUCAAAACUCAGGUCUUAAAACAAAGUUAAAACAUUUGUAAGUCUUUUGGAAGACUCUAUGAACUUCUCUUGACUUGGCUCUUAACUUUCCUUAAAUUUGAAUUUAUGAAUACAAGGAUUGUGAUUUGUGAUAGGAAAGGUCUCAUGAUGUUUAGGAGUGUUUUUAGAUAGUUAAACAUGAGAAACGAUCAAGAAAUCGUUGUCUGGAAGCAAGUCCCCGACGCGGAGAUGCAUUUAAAUAUUUGGUCGCGAAAUUUUUUUUGAGGCAAAACGGUCUGUGACCAAUCCGCGACACGAAGAAGAAUUCUGGGAAAAGGUGGGGCAGGUUCACAACGUGGACUGGGGCACCAGAUUUGCCUAACUUUUUCCUUCUUCAUUUUCUAACCCCAAUUUGCCUUAACUCAGUUCUUUUUAUCAAAUUCUCUUUAGAUUCAUAUACCCAGUAUAUGUACACAAGAAUCUAAAUCAUAACAACUUUAACAAUUGACCUUAAACUCGCAAGAACUCCUCAAUCUCAUCCCAAAUUCAAGAAUGAAAGCAACUCAAGAAUACAACUCAAGAACAUCAAAGUCUCAAUCUUUAAGGAUGAAAAUCAUACUGAAAUAAACAUGUUUGGCGCGUGGGUGAACGAACCCAAUGCUAUGUGAACUCAAAUACCUUGUAGGAUUGAAUCCUUGGUGAAAUCCGCACUCAAUUCCUCAAGAAAUCGACGAAUCCUUGCUUUUUCUCCUCUUCUCCUCUUCUUUUCUCUUCUCUCAAAACGGCUAACUCUUUUUGAUGAAGCGUAAACUGAAACAAAUCAGUGUAGACCCCAACUUAAUUAACAAAAAUGAAAUUAAAUAAUUGGGUAGGGAAAAAACCAUAAUACCCUUCUAUAAUCUUGUUUUUACUUUCCUUAUCUAGACAUCACAACUUCAAAUGGGCAUAUCUCCCUCAUAUGAACUCGAAACUGAGCAAACUCGGCGGCGUUGGAAAGAUAAUUCAAAUAUAUUUCCUACUGUAUGUUGUAGCAUACCUAACUCAUCCUGAGCUAGGAGUUGUGGUCAUUUGAAGUUGACCCAAAAUGCAUAUAUAACUUAACUUUGUCAAACUUUCCAAAUUUGAUUAUUUCCAAAACAGUUUCUUUCUAAUUCCAAGUAUUUCUAGUAGCGGGGUGGUACACUAACUAAUUAUUAAUACCAAGUAAUUUAAAUUUACACAAGCAUAUACAAGAAAAUUACUUUGUAACGUCUACUUAUCUGUACGGUCUCUCCUUCUCCAAAAAGAAAAGAAGCCCUUAUCUCUAAAUUCCCUCUUGAUUAUUGCUUUAACUAUAUGAAUCAUACAGGUUUUAAGUAUGAGAAAACCAUGAUAUAGUGACAAAUGCUAUUCUCGAAAAGAGUUGGAUGGACAAUAAGCUGAAACAAAUAUUUUCAACAUUAAUUAUGAACAAUAAAUAGAAACAAAAUGUUCUUAACAAUAACUUCAUAUAUGAAAGCAAAUUAAAAAGAUUCAUCCCAACGUAUCGAGAUAAUCAUCAGUAUGAGCUUAGGAAUGGUAAAAUAUGGGAGUGUGAGUAAUGCAACAUAGUGAGCGAACAGUUCUUCAUCACGAGAUUACAAAUAAAUUUAUAGCAAACAUGGGGAUCUAUAACUUACGAGGGGAAAAAGAGAGACAUAAGGUCACUCGUUAUCAAACUAUAAAAGAAAAAGAAAAAAUGAGGGACAUAAGGUCACUACUAAUACUAGACUGGAGUUGAAGCGGGUGGGGGUUAAUUAGCUACACUUUUAACAGAACAUUACCAUACCAUUCCUUGGACUGAGGACACUACUUUAAAUAGACAUAAGUCUUAAGAGAACUAUUAGCGACAUGGAUAAGUGUUUAAAGCUAGACUGCUAUAAUGAAAGAGUAGAGAGGAUGAAAAUUAUCAAACACAAUGUUUUGGAGAGCGAGAAGCGAAAAAAAGAGACAUGGGCUCGCUUCACCAAAGCGAGAAGCAUGUAGCGAAGCGCAUGCUUUUUUCAACUAAAGCGCUAUUUAGUACAAAAACAAAAAUAUCAAAUAUGCAUAGAUAAAUAACCAAGAACACAAUAUAAAUAAUAUAUUUAGCAAAUCUUUCAAUUCUUAAAUAGAAAUGUAAAUAUAAUUUACUACCAGAAAAACAAAACAGUGAAAAUAGAGACAAAAAACAUUAUAAAAUAGAGGGAAAAUUGUAGAAUAUGGACCAAAAACAGAGCAUAACAGAGAAAGUUAUACAAAGCAGAGAAAAAAUUGCAAAACUGAAAGAAAAAAACAGAGAAGAUUAUAUUGCAAAUCAGAAAGAAAAAAAUAGAACAAGGGAAACUGCAGACUGCAAGUUGAAAAAAAAAUUGUAGCCAGAGAAACAGAAAAAUAAAGAAGAGAUGAAAAACUUAACUUGUAGUCACUUGAAAGAGUGUCACAGCAAUAGACUAGUUACAGUAAACCUCGCUUAAUGAGAAAAGCGAACUUUUUCUCGCUUUUACUGAAGUCUCACUUCUCACUUCUGGGACUGAAGCGCUCGCUCUUUUACCACAGCUUCGCUUCACUGCAAAAAAGUGAUACAACUUCGCUUCGCCUUGCUUCUCGCUUUAAGCGAAAAAGCUCUCGCUUUUAAUAACACUAAUCAAACAAAGACACCACCCGGAAUUACCAAUUCAUAGGUACUGACCUCACAAUCAUAGAUGGCAUGCAACAUGAUAUGUACCCUUAGCUACUUCUAGAUUAAGGAAAGCAUAUGUUCGGGCUUUCUUCCCACUUGUCCCCUGCAUACUAUAUUGAGAAUUAGGGUAAUUGAGAAAUAUUAAAUUGUAGCAUAUCUCGUCCUUCAUUAUUAUACACUAUAGUGUCUAUCAUCUUCCAUGUGUCCUUACAUAAUAGUAUAACUCAUCCUCGGUUUGCUCUCCAUAUGAUAGAUCAAAUAUCACUUAAAAUUUCCAUAGCAAAUAAGACUGGUUAUUAAAUAUAAAAUUCUAGACAUAGGCUGUCAGAAGAGGAGGAUAAGGAAACUAAGAGGAAGAUCAUAUACAAUGGCUUGGAUCUUAAGAAACAAGAGUAUAACUAUAAGAGAAAAAGUAAGCAGAAACAUCACAUCCUACCUCUAUUUUCAAGGUAUAACAGCGUCGUACGCAAAUCAUCACAUGUCAUAGCAAGAGAUACUAAAGCUUCACCUAGCAAGGACACUCCAAUAUAUAUAAUAUGUAAUGUUUCCUUUCCUAUUUUUCCUGUCUCACAAGUAUUUUUGCAAGUGUACACAUUUUUGACAACAAUGUUAGACACUCUGGUACUGCUGUCCAGUUUUAUAAAAUUCUUUCGGCAAACCAAGAAUCCAUUAUUACCAGACAAUAUUGCAAUCAUUUUUCUAGUCUUCGGUAAACAACGCCUACUAUCUUAGUGACUUAGUCUUGAUUGUUAUGUUCUCCUUUUUUCUUACCGAUAGAAUCUCUUCUAGUCAAUCUAAGAAGUUUGUAGCUUCAAAAACUAAUAAAGGCGAAGCAACAAAAACAUAAUGCUUAAAAAAAUUACAUGAAACCUACAUUAUCAUGGACGAUUUUAGCCCUAAUCAGCUUAUCAGUCUAAUAAAAAAGAAAUUCUCAUACUUAUUUAGUGAUGAAUGCAUUGGGCAAAGAAUCAACUGAUGUGGGUAAUAGAACUACAAGCUAGACACCCAAAAAUAAAAUAAAAAAUCGUAUCAACAAACACAAGAAUAUCAAAAUCCUAAAGCUAAAUAUGUAACCACACGCAAGCAAUAAACCCAGAUGCCAUAAAUUUUGACUUUUAAAGAUAGAAAUAUUUACCUGAUAAACUCUAUUCCAAAAAAAUCCUUUAAAUGUGAUGAAGCUUUAAGAAAUCAUCUUCUAAAUUGAAGCAUCUUGUUCUGUCAUUGGUGAAAAAUUAGAAAAUCAUCAGGAAUUUUCGUAUGUCAAAGAUGAAGAAUGAAAUUUUGAAACCAUUCUUUAAUUUGCUUUGAGAAAAAUCUGUACAGAAAUACCUUUUAAUUUUGAAACCACUCUUCAAUUCUUCAAUUUGCUCGGUGAAAAAUUUCAGAUUUGGAGCUAAGGCGUUCUUCUUCUUCAAGAAAUUGGGAUUUUUUUUCUAAUUUGGGCAAAGCUUUAC
rnacentral:lncRNA from 1 species